UCAAAAUUUAUAGUAAGAAUUAAUCAAAUAAAAUUUAAAAAAUGGAGGAGGGGUAAAAUAGACAUUCGAAAACAAAGAACGUGGAAACCCUAUUGAUAGGUAUAUAAGAAGGGUAGUGUUAAGUGGCAAAGUAAAGAGGGGACAAGUCAUGUGAAUAGAAAAAUAGCAGUGAGUGGAAGAGCUUGAAGCGGCGAAAAUGGAGAAAGGGAACAUGUGGAAAACGAAAACACAGAUCUAAAUCAAAUCAUGAUGGGAUUUAUAUAGUUUUCAAUCUGAAACUAACAUUCCCUUCUCUCUUUUGCUGCUCGCUCCUCUUCAUCUCUCUCUCUCUCUCUCUCUACACCUAUAUAUAUAUAUAUAUAUAUCUAUCUAUCUAUGCCUCGUUGAGGCACACGCGUUUUCUCUCUCUCUCUCGCUCUCACUCUCUCUCUCUCUCUCUUUCUCUCUGCUAUUCAGAUCUUCAAUGGCUUCCCCCUCGACCUGAUGAUGAUUCUACACUCUGAAGGUUCAAUAUUUUUAUUUUCAUUUUUCUUUUUUUUAGACCUUAAUUUGAUGUUCAGAUCUGAUUUUUCCCCCCCGAAUUUCUCAGUCUAUUAGAGUUUUUUUCUGCGUCAAUUGACUCUUGAUAAAGAAUUUUCUUCCCAAACUUUUAUACGACUAAAAUUUGUUGAAAUUAGAUUAAUAUUGUUUAAGCUUUGCAAGCAAUUGACAUAAUUAGUAUUUAUAUUUUUGUUAAUAUUCUAAGCAUUUUCCUCCUCCAAUUUUUUUUUUUUUAAAAUUUAUUAAAACUAGUGUAACUGACCGGCUUAAUAAAAGUUGUCUUGUGCUACUGGUAGUUUCGAGGGGCGAUAUCCUCCGUAAAUAAAUAAAUGAGUCAUCGAUUCGAGGAUAGGAAGGGUCAAACGAUUGAAAAAAAAAACUAUUAAGCUUUUAAAACAAAAGCAAUUCUGUUUAUCCUUUAAACGAUGUGAUUAAUUGUAUAUAUAAUAACUAUCUAAAUUUUCUUCUAUAAAGGAUUUGGGCUAAGGCCAAGUAAUUUGAAUAGCACAUUCUCCCGAGUUUGUAAAUAAGCACUAUAAUUAGAUAGCCUUUAGAAUAUUUAUUCAGUUAUUUUUAUUAUAAUGACGAAAUAAAUUAUCUCAUAUAUAUAAUGAAUUGAUGUAUAUAACCUAUCUCGAUAUAAUUUCCUCUAACGUAUAUAUAGUAAUAUACAAGCUUGCAAGUUGAAAUAGGAACUUUUCCUUUUCAUUGUUCUUUGUAAUUUUACUAUGAUAUGAUUUUCAGUUUGAUAGAAUCAAAAUUAAUCAACAAAUCUCAGGGCCAGGACUCUUCGUUUAACCACUCAAAUUCACAUUCGAAUCCAUCAUCAAUUUUUAAUUGAACAAACGACCAAAAUUUUAAUGAUGUAGGAUCUAAUUACGUGUUUUCAUUUUAGUUUUUGAAAUUAUCUUUCAUAUCACAUUUACUUCACUAGAUAUGUAUAUCUAAUUUAUUCAGAUGUAUGUAUUUCGAAUAGAUUAAAUUUCUUGAAUUUUUUUAAAUAUAUAUACAUUGUAUUCACACGUGAUUAAUAUAUGAAUCAAGGAUACACUAAUUCUCUUCGAUCACCUUUCUAUCUUGCUUGCAUCUCUCUUAUCUCGCUAGCCUAUCAAUUGCUCACCUCUCUCCUCUUUUUGUUGUCUCUCCCUAUAUAUUUAUAUUUUAGAAUAUAUCUGAUAUCAAAGAUAAAUGUAUAUGGUAUCUUUGAUAUAUGUAUCUAACUUGAAAUAUGAAAUAAUGAUACAUGAAUGACUUAAAAUCUGAUAAAGAAUUUAUCGAUUAGUAAGCUAGUAUAUAAUUAUUUCAAACUAUAACAUGAUCGAGUAUAUCUGAUUGGAAUGUUUGUAUAUAUAAUUAUAUAAUUUUUUCUUUAUAAGAAGAAUUCUCUCUUCAGUAGCAAUUUGGCUUUUUGUCUGAAGUUGAGCUACUCUCUCAAUCUAUGUUCGAAAUUCCAGAGACACAUUUAUAUUAUACAAGGUUUUAUUACAUUUUCUACCCUUUUCGGCCUACGUGGCACUAGCUUGAAAAAAAUAAUCAACUAGCGUUGAACCCACAAGAUAGUGUCACGCAGACCAAAAAGUAACAUUUUUUAAAAUAAUAUAUAUAUAUAUAUAUAUAUAUAUAUAUACUUUCCACUGAAAUGCAGUGAUUUGUCACCAAAAAAAUGUUAUCUUUUAAAUCUUUAUGUGACUAGUUUACAGAAAUUUAACAAAAAGAUCAAAAAAAAAAAAUGCAUUUUCCACCAAGGCAGCGAUUUUACUGAAAUCGCUGCAUCUUUUUUUUUUAAAAAAAAUAAAUCUACAAACUUUAUAAUUAAACUGCGAUCCUAGCGAAUUUUUUAAAAAAAAAUUAAGAAAAGGCAGCGAUUUUUAUUAAAAAAAUAAUUAUUUUUAUAAAAAACGCUGCCAUAGCAGCGAUAUUAAACUUUUUUUAAAAGAAAGAAAUUGUAAAAAUACUGUUGGGAAAGCAAUAUUCUAAAAAAAAAUUUGGAUAAAAAAAUUGUUAUUUUUUUUUAAAAAAACAACACAACAAUGUGAUUAUGAGAUGUUUGAACCGAAGCAUUCACAUCAUUAUCGAAUAGACACAUUCCUUUGCUGCAAGUGGCUAUAAAUAAGAGAUUAUUUUCGUUUUUCAAGACAUUGAAAAUUUUCCUCUUUGCAUACAUUUUUUCUCAUAAAUAAAAUUGUCGAUCGACUCUGUCUGUAUGCUCUUGUUAUUGUUUUUGCGUUCGUUGAAAUUAUUGAAGUUUGAGGCACCGCUACUUUUUUAACAAGUUAAUCCGUUUUAUCUUAGAAGAAAUUAAUCUGCAACCUCGGGUAUAAUAAGGGGAUUAAAUUUCUUAAGGAAAUACCGUGAUUUCUGUGGACUCGAAUUAAAAAUUUUCUUUUUAUUUCAUCUUAUUUAUGUUCUCGUAGUGUUUACUUAUUUACGCAACAUAACUAUAGUUUAAAUAGCUAAAACAUAUCUUAUUCGUAUAUUUUAUUUUUUUAAUUAGUUAUAAAAAAUGGUGUUAAAAUUUAGUUUACUAAAUAUACGACAAUUUUGUGGUAUAAUUAUGAAAAAUGAUUUCUUAAUUAAAGCUUACUGAAUCUAAUUAAGAUACCUUACCAAAUAAGUCUUUUUCUUCAAAUAAAAUCUCUCAAUAAAAUCAAAAUUCAAAAUUCAAAAAUUUCAACUUCUCCCAUUUAAUUGUGUAUAUCCAAAUCAAUUUAAAUUUCAAAAUUGAACAUCUUGUAUUUCACUAUAUUAGUUUGAAUUGAAUAGUUAUGAAUAAAUAACAAAAUAUUGAUUUUAAGCGUAUUAGCAUUAUAUAUGAAGUAGUUGAUUGAUUUGUAUAGUUCUUUAAGAGUUCUUCACGAUUAUGAUGAAAAUGCAUAGAGAUUUGUAUGUGGUAAUUGUAUAUGUAUAUAAUUAGUAUAGAUUUGCAGAUUACGAUUUUUGUGUUUAUGAAUAUUAUAUAAUUUGUUGUAUAUUUUAAGACAAAAAUUUGUAUAUUUGAAUGAUACUCGUAUUGACUUUUACCAAAUAUGUAUAUGUGAAUAAUAUUUGUAUUUGACUUGUAUCUAUAUGUAUACGUGAAUAAUAUUUAUAUUUGACUUAUAUCGAUAUGUAUAUGCCGUGGACUGAUUUGUAUGUUAAAUAAUUUCUAUAUUUAAUUUUGUAAAAUUGUUGACUUAUACAUUUGUGCCUUGAUAUCAUGUAAUAUGUACAACUAAGGCAUAUAAUGCAUACGAUUAAGUGCUUGUAUACAAUUUUGUAUUUGACUUGUAUCAAUAUGUAUAUGUGAACGAUAUUUGUAUUGGACUUAUAUCAGUAUGUUUCUAAACAUUUUGUAUAUUAUAUAGUUUGUAUACAAUUUGUUGUAUAUUUUAAGACAAAUUUAUAUAUUUGAAUAAUAUUCGUAUUGACUUAUAUCAAUAUGUAUAUGUAAAUAAUAUUUGUAUUUGACUUGUAUCAUAUAUAUAUAUAUAUAUAUAUAUAUAUAUAUAUAUAUAUAUGAAUCAUAUUUGUAUUUGACUUGUAUCAAUAUGUAUCUGUCGUGGACUGGUUUGUAUGUUAGAUAAUUUCUACAUUUAAUUUUGUAGAAUUGUUGACUUAUACAUUUGUCUUGAUGUCAUGUAAUAUGUACAACUAAGGCAUAAAAAUGCAUACGAUUAAAUGCUUGUAUACAAAUUUGUAUUUGACUAGUAUCAUUAUAUAUAAGUGAAUAAUAUUUGUAUUCGACUUAUAUCAAUAUGUUUUUAAACGUUUUGUAUAUUAUAUUAUUUGUAUACAAAUCAUUGUAUAUUUUAAGACAAAAGUUUAUAUAUUUGAAAAAUAUUCGUAUUCACUUAUAUCAAUAUGUAUUUGUGAAUAAUAUUUGUUUUUGACUUGUAUUAAUAUGUAUAUGUGAAUAAUAUUUGUAUUUGACUUAUAUCAAUAUGUAUAUGUCAUGUAUACAAAUUUGUGACUAGUAUCAAUAUGUAUAUGUGAAUAAUAUUUUUUAUUUGACUUAUAUCAAUAUGUUUCUAAACGUUUUGUAUGUUAUAUAAUUUGUAUACAAUUUGUUGUAUAUUUUAACACAAAAAUUUAUAUAUUUGAAAAAUAUUUAUAUUAACUUAUAUCAAUAUGUGUAUUUGUGAAUAGUAUUUGUUUUUGACUUGUAUUAAUAUGUAUAUGUGAAUAAUAUUCGUAUUUGACUUAUAUCUAUAUGUAUAUGUAUAUGUCGUGGAUUGGUUUGUAUGUUAGAUAAUUUCUAUAUUUAAUUUUGUAGAAUUGUUGACUUAUACAUUUGUGUCUUGAUACCAUGUAAUAUGUACAACUAAGGCAUGUAAUGCAUACUAUUAAAUUCUUGUAUACAAACAACCUAUUGAACUUAAAUAUACAUACACAAAUAACAUAAAAAGAAAAAAGAAAAAUACCUCAAGAUCUUCAUUCUCUUGUUUGAUAUUAAUUAUGUAACAUAUAUAAUUAACCAAUAGUACAACCAAUUUAUUAUCUCAUAUACAACUUAAAUCAUACAUAUACAAAUCAAAGAAAAACUAAAACUGUCACGACCCAAAAAUGAGUGUGAUGGCACUCGUCUUAUCCCACCAAGACAAGUCAACCUAAAACCCAAAAUCUAACAAAGUGCGGAAGUAAAUGACAAUCCAACAACAAUUUCUAUUAUGAAACCAAGUCAUAUUAAUUCAAUCCCCAAAACCAGGUUGUCACGUGCACAAGCCUCUAAUGUAAACAUUAGAAUUGAAAUAAAUUAGAAGUCUAAAAUGAAGUUGUCUUUCAAAUAAAAACAAAGUCAUAAACUGGAGUAGGAAAGUUCGCUGAGAUGACAAGCAGCUACCUCACAAUCCUCUACAAAAUGCCUCGGAAACGAAGAGAAUGGAAGGUAUCACAAAAAUCCGGGCUCAUAACCUACAAAAAUUUGUAGAUGCAAGGGGUGAGUACCAAACCACGCGGUACCCAACAAGCAAACCUCUAAACACAAGUUAAGUGAACAAAAUACAGGUACUCCUUACGCCCUAUCUAAACCUCCACGCUACAGCCUAACAGUUUGCCAAACACACCACUCAAUAACCACACUCUAUCAGUUUACACAUUCUCAAUAACAACUCAAUAUUCAACAGUCACAAGCUUCACAGAGAAACAAUCACAAGAUCAGCAAAACACAUGUUCAAGUUCAUCAAUAAUAAAAAUGUGCAAUGUCAUGAGAUGCAAUGUCAAAUAUCGUGAUGCAUGUCUUUCCUAACGAUACACACCUGCUGUCUCUCAGGCCAGACCCAUGGGGGACAUAUCUGUCCAUGCAUCUAUCGCGGCGCACGACACGACCCUCGAUAAAAUAGUAACCUUCGCGGCGCGCGAUACGUCCCUCGAAAUAUAAUAUCCAUCGCGGCACGCGAUACGACCCUCGAAAAUAGUACAUCAUCCUCUUACCACAACCAUGUCUCAGAUACAAUGCAAAUGACAUGCUCAAAUGAAAAGGAGGAGAUAACCAUUUGAUAACAAAGCACAAUUUAAACAAGAAAUACAACACCAACAAAUAAACAACAAGUCUUCAAAUCAUUCUCAACAUCACACAAGGAAAUACACGAAUUUCGUACGCUUAACAAGAGUUUAGAAAUCCACUUGCCUUAGCCAAUCGAAUAAUUACUGUUGGACUUGAGCCUUCCCUUUCCGUUGAGCUUCCAAACCAAUGGAUUCUAUUCAAGUAUAUAUUCACAAUAAGGUUUCAAAACUAACAACACUCACACUUUUAUGUGUCUAACCUUGACCUAAAAAUUCACCCCAAAUUUAUAAUCAAGUUUGUAAUUCUUGACGUCAAUUAACAAUUCAACGAUCAUAUUUUCCAAGUUUCAAGGCUAAGUUUAAAUCUUCUUCUAAACACGUACAUCAUUAUCAACACAUUUGAUUUCUGCCCAAUUAACAAUUACAAAAUAAUACUUACCGACCUAGUUAUAGGAUAUUAAUGUUUUAGAUAUUAAUUAUGGAAAUAAUAUUUCUCCCAUGGUUAUCAUUAAUUGUUGGUAAGAAAUUAUUAUAAAAUAUAUAUAUAUUGUUAGCAUGCUUUGUAGUUUGCUCCUACCUGGAUGAGAAUGAAGCUACGCCAGCCGCCACUCACAGGUAGAUUCUGUUUCCCUUUCUAUCUUCUUUUCUUCUAAAUUACUUAUGUUAUUAAAAGUAACACUCCUUAUUUAACCUAUAUUAAUAUUUCAGACUUGACCCAUUAUUAUUAAAAAUAACUAAAUUACCCCCAAAUUAAUUAAUAUAGUUAAAUGACUAUUCAAAAUUAUCAAAAAAAUAACUUUCGGGUCUGAGUCAUUACAUUAUCCACCACUAAAAAUCAUGUUCGUCCUCGAACAUAAGGUGAAAGAAAGUACCUGAAGCUUAAAAAAUCUGAGGGUAUAUGGCACGCAUGUCAGACUCUAUCUCCCAAGUUGCCUCUCCCACUGAUCGGUGCUUCCACUGCGCUUUUACUGAAGCAAUCUCCUUGGUCCUAAGCUUUCGAAUCUUCCUAUCCAAAAUAGCUAUAGGCUCCUCCUCAAAUGUCAAGUCUGGACCCAACUCCACAGAAUCAAGUGAAAGCACAUGAGAUUCAUCCGGAAUGUACUUCCGAAGCAUAGAGUCAUGAAAAACAGGAUGAACUGCCGACAAACUAGGUGCCAAGGCCAACUUAUAGGCCACCUCUCCCACUCGGCUCAAAAUCUCAAAAGGUCCAAUGAACCUAGGGUUAAACUUGCCCUUCUUUCCAAACCUCAUCACACCCUUCAUGGGUGAUACUCGAAGCCAAACAUGAUCACCCUCCAUAAACACCAAGGCUCUAACUCCCCGGUCUGCAUAACUCUUUUGUUGACUCUGAGCUGUCAAUAAUCUAUACUGAAUCAUACGAACUUGCUCCAUAGCAUCUCUAAGCAAGUCUGUAUCCAAAGAGUCCAUCUCCGCUGAAUCAAACCAACCAAUAGGAGAUCUACACCGUCUACCAUACAAUGCCUCAAAUGGGGCCAUUUGGAUACUAGAGUGAUAACUGUUAUUAUAGGCAAACUCCGCUAAGGGUAAAUAUCGAUCCCAUCUUGCACCAAAAUCGAUCACACACGCUCGAAGCAUAUCUUCCAAUACCUGAAUGGUCUGCUCAGAUUGACCAUCUGUCUGAGGGUGAAAUGCCGUACUCAUAUCUAACUGAGUACCCAGACCAUGUUGUAAUGCCUUCCAGAAGUGAGAAGUAAAUAGUGAACCUCGAUCUGAUAUGAUAGAAACAGGAACUCCAUGUAGUCACACAAUCUGACUGAUAUAUAGUUCGGCUAACUUUUCUACUGUAUACUUUACCCGAACCGGGAUGAAGUGGGCAGACUUGGUCAGUCUAUCAACAACAACCCAAAUAGAGUCAUAACCACCCACUGUGGUAGGCAAACCCACAACAAAGUCCAUAGUAAUCCGCUCCCACUUCCAAGUAGGAAUAGGCAUCCUCUGAGAUACACCCCCGGCCGCUGGUGCUCACACUUGAUCUGCUGUCAAGUCAAACACCUCGAAACAAAGUCUAAAAUAUCUCUCUUAAUCCCACACCACCAGUAAUGCUGACUCAGAUCAUGAUACAUCUUCGCCGCUCCCGGAUGGAUGGAAUACCGAGUACAAUGAGCCUCCUCAAGAAUCAAUCUAAUCAAAUCGUCUAUCCUGGGCACACAAAUUCUGCCUCCGAUCCGCAAGACACCAUUAGAAUCAAGGACAACCUCCUUAGCUUCCCCUCUCAAUACUUUGUCUCGAAUGAGACAUAAUUUUUCAUCAUCAAAUUGGUGUGCACGGAUUUGCUUGACUAAAGAAGACCGAGCCUUAAUAAAAGCAAUCAUCCCAUCAAUCUCUUCUGAAAUCUACAAGCGGACAAGACUAUUAGCUAAUAUCUGCACAUCUCUAGCCAAUGGUCUCUCCUCAAUACUAAGCGCUGCAAGACUCCCCAUGCUAGGAGUCUUCCUACUCAGAGCAUCGGCCACAACAUUGGCCUUUCUUGGAUGAUACAGAAUGGUCACAUCAUAGUCCUUCAGCAACUCAAGCCAUCUCCGUUGCCUCAAGUUCAAAUCCCUCUGGCUAAAGAUAUACUGAAGACUCCGAUGAUCAGUGAAGAUCUCACAAUGCACUCCAUACAAAUAAUGACGCCAUAACUUAAGUACAAAUAACACAGCCGCCAACUCCAGAUCAUGGGUAGGGUAGUUCUUCUCAUGGGACUUCAAUUGCCUCGAAGCAUAAGCAAUCACUUUCCCCUUCUGCAUCAACACACCACCCAAACCAACUCUUGAAGCAUCACAAUACACAGUAAAGUCUAAACCUUCCUCAGGUAGAGUCAACACAGGAGAAGAAGUCAACAAAGUCUUGAGCUUUUGAAAGCUCUCCUCACACUCAUCAGACCACUGAAAACCCACAUCUUGUCGAGUCAAUCUAGUCAAUGGAGCUGCAAUAGUAGAGAAACUCUGAACAAAUCGUCGAUAAUAGCCUGCCAAUCCCACAAAACUCCUAAUCUCAGUAGGUGAAGUAGGUCGCGUCCAGCCUCUAACUGCCUCAAUCUUGGCCGGAUCUACUCUAAUACCCUCUUUGGACACCACGUGUCCCAAGAAUGUCACAGAAGUAAGCCAGAACUCACACUUUGAGAACUUGGCAUACAACUUCUCUUCUCUCAACCUCUGAAGUACAAUCCUCAGGUGUCGGACAUGGUCCUCGUCUGUCUUAGAGUAAACCAAGAUGUCAUCGAUGAAAACAAUCACAAAAGAAUCAAGGUAUGGUUGAAACACCCCAUUCAUCAACUCCAUGAAUGCUGCAGGGGCAUUAGUCAAUCCGAAGGACAUCACUAGAAACUCAUAAUGCCCAUACCGGGUCCGAAAAGUUGUCUUAGGGAUAUCUGAUGCCCUAAUCUUCAACUGAUGAUACCCAGACCUCAAAUCAAUCUUAGAGAACAAUGGUGCUCCCUGUAACUGAUCAAAUAAGUCAUCAAUACACGGAAGAGGAUACUUAUUCUUAACUGUUACCUUGUUCAACUUUCUGUAAUCAAUACACAUUCUCAUAGUCCCAUCCUUCUUCUUCACAAACAAUACAGAGGCACCCCAAGGUGAUAUACUAGGGCGAAUAAAACCCUUACUCAAUAAAUCUUGCAACUGAUCCUUCAAUUCUUUCAACUCUGCUGGGGCCAUAUGAUAUGGAAGUAUAGAAAUAGGCUUAGUGCCCGGCUCCAAAUCAAUAACAAAAUCGAUAUCCCUAUCGGGAGGAACACCUGGAAGAUCAGAAGGAAAUACAUCGAGGAACUCCUGAACCACGGGAACAGAGUCCAUGGAAGGUGGUUCAACACUAGUAUCCCGAAUAAAAGCUAAGUAAGACAAACACCCCCUCUCCACCAAUCUCUAAGCACGGAUAAAAGAGAUGACCUUUCUAGGAUAAGAACCACUAACACUCUUCCACUCAACCCUCAGAACACCAGGCAUUGCUAAAGUUACAGUCUUAGCAUUACAAUCAAGGACAGCGUGAUAAGGAGAAAGCCAAUCCAUACCCAAGAUAACAUUAAAGUCUACCUUCCCCAGAAUGAUUAAAUCUACCCAAGUAUCAUACCCAGCCAAAGAAACAAGACAAGAUCGAUACACUCGAUCCACCACUAAGGGCUUACCCACGGGUGUAGAAACACGAAUAGGUAUAGUCAUGCUAUCACAUAUCAUAUCAAAUUUAACAACAAAAUACGUAGACACAUAAGAAAAGGUAGAACCUGGAUCAAACAACACAGACGCAGGUCGAUGGCAUACUGGAUGAUACCUGUAAUAACAGCAUCAGAGGUCUCCGCCUCAGGUCUCCCGGGGAAAGCAUAGCAGUGGCCUCCUCAUCCACCUCCAUCCUGGGUGGUACCUCUACCCCCACUCUGCUAAGCUGCAACACCACUACUAGAAACUUUAUCACCUCUACCUGCCUGAACUCUGCCACGACCUCUAUCCUGUAGUGCUGGUGGUCUAGUCUGGAAUGAAGAAUUAGGUCGAGGCCCACCACAACCUCUUUGUGAAGUACACUGGCGCAUUAGAUGAUCGGGAUCUCCACAAGAAAAACAAAAUCUCUGACCUGGGAACUGUUGUGUGGACCCUGAAAACCCACUAAAAUUUCCGCGCCCUGUAGGUCGCUGCUGUGAACCGUACGAUCUCUGACCCGGGCUAUAAGAACCCCUAGAUAUCUGGCCACCCUCAAAUGUCGGCAUAGAUGCAUGAAUAGGUCCCCGCUGCUGAAAAGAACCACUCACUCUUUGUGAUCCCCUACCUCCAGAUGAGGUACCAUGAAACUGGCCUGAUAUACGGGCCCUUUUAGGGUCCCCAAACUCCUCUCUCUCCAUCAAUUCUGCCUCUUUGGCAGCGCUCACAAUGGACUGGAAAGAAGCCCCCUCCCUAGAUGCCCGAAACACAGCUGACCUGAUAGAGAAAGUCAAUCCCCUCACAAAUCUGCGGAUCCUCUCUGUCUCAUUUGGAAUAAUGGCCAACGUAUGCCUAGACAACUGGCAAAAACGCACCUCAUACUCUGUAACCGAUAAACCAUCCUAUCUCAGACUCUCAAACCUCAAGCGACUCUCCUCUCUCAUGCUCCAUGGGAUAAAACGAUCUUGGAAUGCAUUAGUAAAUUGCUCCCAAGUCACUGGAGGAGAUCUAACUGGCAAACAUCCCGAAUAAGUCCUCCACUAGUCUCUCACUGGUCCACGAAGCUGGAGUGUAGCAUAUCGAACCUCAUGUGACUCAGCUAAUCCAACCACAUCUAGUAACUCUCGGCAGGUAGUUAGAAACUCAUGAGCGUCCUCGCUCUUCCCACCCUGAAACUGAGGUGGGUCCAUCUUUCGAAAUCUCUCAUACCUACGCUUCUCAUCCUCUGUCAGAACAACCAUCGAUGAAACUUGACCCCCAACUGCUGGUGCAACAUCAUUCUGAACCGCGGGAUCUACUGGUAGUUGCCCCACCGCAUCCUGAACAACUGGAGCCUGUUGUUGUUCUUGGGUCUGAGCCCCCUCUCUAGUACGAGAGUCAUGUGGUGUGGUAGUCGCACCACCACCCUGAGAAAAGCCCUCAAGCACACUUAAGACCCUCAAUAGUGUAUCCUGAAGCAAAGGUGUGACAACAGGAUCUGGAGGAACCUGGUCCUCCCUGUUAUCAAUCUGAGGUUCUGUAGAGACCUCUCUAGCACGACCUCCCACUGGUGCUGCUCCACGUCCACGACCUCUGGCUACUGUCGUACUACUAGCACGACCUCUAGCUCGAGAUCUACCCCUACCCCUAGCUGGGGCCUCAACAACUGCCUCGGGAAGUGCCUCCCCUCUACCACCAGUAAAAUUAGUUCUAGUCCUCGUCAUCUGUCAAAAGAGUAUACAACAACUCAGUACUAACGAAGGCAACUACGCACGAUGAGAAAGAAUGAACAAAAGGAAGUUUCCUAGUAAUCUUUAUAGCCUCUCAGAGAUGAGUACAGACGUCUCCGUACUGAUCCUUGAGACUCUACGUAGACUCGGCUUGUAUACACGUGAGACCUAUGAACUUGGGGCUCUGAUACCAUUUUGUCACGACCUAAAAAUGGGUGUGAUGGCACUCGUCUUAUCCCACCAAGACAAGUCAGCCUAAAAUCCAAAAUCUAACAAAGUGCGGAAGUAAAUGACAAUCCAACAACAAUUUCUAUUAUGAAACCGAGUCAUAUUAAUUCAAUCCCCAAAACCAGGUUGUCACGUGCACAAGCCUCUAAUGUAAACAUUAGAAUUGAAAUAAAUUAGAAGUCUAAAAUGAAGUUGUCUGUCAAAUAAAAACAAAGUCAUAAACUGGAGUAGGAAAGUUCGCUGAGAUGACAAGCAACUACCUCACAAUCCUCCACAAGAUGCCUCGAAAACGAAGAGAAUGGAAGGUAUCACAAAAAUCCGGGCUCGUAACCUACAAAAAUUUGUAGAAGCAAGAGGUGAGUACCAAACCACGCGGUACCCAACAAGCAAACCUCUAAACACAAGUUAAGUAAACAAAAUACGGGUACUCCUUAUGCCCUAUCUAAACCUCCACGCUACAGCCUAACAGUUUACCAAACACACCACUCAAUAACCACACUCUAUCAGUUUACACAUUCUCAAUAACAACUCAAUAUUCAACAGUCACAAGCUUCACAGAGAAACAAUCACAAGAUCAGCAAAACACAUGUUCAAGUUCAUCAAUAAUAAAAAUGUGCAAUGCCAUGAGAUGCAAUGUCAAAUAUCGUGAUGCAUGUCUUUCCUAACGAUACACACCCGCUGUCUCUCAGACUGGGACCCAUGGGGGACAUAUCUGUCCAUGCAUCUAUCGCGGUGCACGACACGACCCUUGAUAAAAUAGUAACCUUCGCGGCACGCGAUACGUCCCUCGAAAUAUAAUAUCCAUCGCGGCGCGCGAUACGACCCUCGAAAAUAGUACAUCAUCCUCUUACCACAACCAUGUCUCAGAUACAAUGCAAAUGACAUGCUCAAAUGAAAAGGAGGAGAUAACCAUUUGAUAACAAAGCACAAUUUACAACAAGAAAUACAACACCAACAAAUAAACAACAAGUCUCCAAAUCAUUCUCAACAUCACACAAGGAAAUACACGAAUUUUGUACGGUUAACAAGAGUUUAGAAAUCCACUUGCCUUAGCCAAUCGAAUAAUUACUGUUAGACUUGUUUUCGUUGAGCUUCCAAACCAAUGGAAUCUAUUCAAGUAUAUAUUCACAAUAAGGUUUCAAAACUAACAACACUCACACUUUUUAUGUGUUUAACCUUGACCUAAAAAUUCACCCCAAAUUUAUCAUCAAGUUUGUAACUCUUGAUGUCAAUUAACAAUUCAACGAUCAUAUUUUCCAAGUUUCAAGGCUAAGUUUAAAUCUUCUUCCAAACACGUACAUCAUUAUCAACACAUUUGGUUUUUUCCCAAUUAACAAUUACAAAAUAAUACUUACCGACCUAGUUAUAGGAUAUUAAUGUUUUAGUUAUUAAUUAUGGAAAUAAUAUUUCUCCCAUGGUUAUCAUUAAUUGUUGGUAAGGAAUUAUUAUAAAAUAUAUAUAUAUUGUUAGCAUGCUUUGCAGUUUGCUCCUACCUGGACGAGAAUGAAGCUACGCCAGCCGCCACUCACAGGUAGAUUCUGUUUCCCUUUCUAUCUUCUUUUCUUCUAAAUUACUUAUGUUAUUAAAAGUAACACUCCUUAUUAACCUAUAUUAAUAUUUUAGACUUGACCCAUUAUUAUUAAAAAUAACUAAAUUACCCCCAAAUUAAUUAAUAUAGUUAAAUGACUAUUCAAAAUUAUAAAAAUGUAAAGUUAAUUUAUUAUUUUUAAAAUACACAUGAUUUUAUCAAAAAAAAAUUAUUUAUUAAUAUGUAAAAUUACAAUUCUUAAAUUUUUCAUUUUUGUUGUUUUUCUUAGAAUAUUUCAAGUUGUUUAUUAAUAAGUUUUUAUAUUUUCAUGUUUGUUAUUUUUCGGGAGUUCUAAAGUUAUUUCAAAAUUAUGAUUAAUUUAUAAUUUUAAAAAUUUAGUUGCUUUCCUACCGAUCUAUUUACUUAUAAUAAAAUAUUUGUCUCAAUAACUCUAAUUUGUUUAUAUUUCAUUUUCUAUAAUUAAUAUUCUUUAUUAGUGUAAUAAUGUACAAAUAUUACUCUUAUUGUGUUAUAAAAGUUCAAAGUCAUAUUACCUCUUAAUUACUAUGACUUUUUAUUCUUAGAAAUUUAUUAUGUUAAAUGUAAUAUUUAUUUAAAAUGUGAAAAAUAUUUUUUAAUAUUUUGUGUUUAAGCCAAAUAAAAUUAAAAGAAAUAGAAAUUGUGUAUGUGUCAUUUUUUUGAAUCUUUUUUUCGUAGUUAAUUCUCUCUUUUGUUCUCUUUUAUGUUAUUUUUAAAUUUUAUAUUUUUUUCCAAUAUAAGUUGUCCCAAAAAUAAUUGGAUAUCUAAACCUAAGUAUAAUGAUAAUAAUAAUAAUAAUAAUAAUAAUAAUAAUAAUAAUAAUAAUAACAACAAUAAUAAGUAUGAAAUUUAACUAAUUAAGAUUUUUAAACUUUUCUUAUUUAAAAUUUAAUUAUUAAAAAGUCAUUAAUACAAAUAUUAAAUUAAUCUAAUAUUGUAAAUUAAAAAUAAUUAAAACAUGUGAUGAUUGGGUCAUAACGAGGACAAGUAAUAGUAAUUGUGGAUAAUGAUUUAUUAUAGUGUUGGCUAACUAUAUAGUCAUGAAUACUAACUAUUAAUAGUAAUCCGAGUUAUACAUUGACGAAAAAUUAUACUAAGAAUAUAAUUUAUAAAAUCACAAAUAAGCAUAAAAGAACGCUUAGAUGUAAAGUUUACAUUAAUAUAUAUAAAUUAUACUAAGAAAAUCUCAAAUAAAAAAGAAAAAUGAUCACAAGUUUACAUUUAAGUAGUUCUAAUAUCACUCAAUUCUUAUUACCUUCCCUUUUUCUCUAUAAAAUUUAUUUUUAAUAUUUAACUUUUUGAAGUUCACAUAUAUUGAUUUCUUAAUAAAUUUCAUAUUUAAUCUAAAUAUUUUUCAUAGUUUCUCUUUUAUAAAAUUAUGUGAUUAAAAAAAAUUCUUCUUAUUAAAGUAAUUAUUGAUAUUAAUAUGUAAUUUUAUUUUAAUCAUUUUCAUAACCGCGCGAAUCGAGGCUAAGUACACUAGUAUAAAAUAAGUAGUAAGUGUUAGUUUAGUUAUAUAAUCAUCUCGAUAACCUAUUCCCUUUUGGAUGUAACUUUCUUCUUUUUUUCUUUUUGGAAAAAAUACAGAGACGUAGAAAAUCGAAUCGAAAAAUAUUUAUUUUGAUGUGUUUUUAAAUAUUAUUUAUAUGUUUUCAUAGUUUUUAUCUUUUAACAUGUUUUUAAAAAAUUUUGAGUCUUAAAAUUUUAAAUGGUUCAUAAAGAUUAUAGUCCAUAGAUAUUAGUAACUCUAAUAAAACUUAAUUUAAGAUCAAAUCAAUAUUAAUGCUAACAAAAUAAAUUAAUUCAACACUAAGAAUGACAAUAAUGUUGAACAUAUGCUUCUUAGUUUUACAUUCGUUCAGACAUUUAAAAUACAUGAUCUAUUUUUUAAUGUUUAUUCAUGUAAUUAAUUCUUAUUAAAUUUAUUUUAGCAUGAUUCAAUAUUUUUAAAUUAUGACCAUUUUCUUUAAGACUUAUCAAUUUGCAAUAUUUAUUUUAUACAAUUUCAUUAUUAUUAUUUAUUAAAUUUUUAGUGUCAUUAUUCAUCUCAUAUUUUGUUUCAUUUUUCUUUAGAAACACAGUAAAUAGUUAUAUUUUGGUUGGACUAAAGAAAUAUUAGGAGUACGAGUUAAUUGAGUUUGUACAAAUACUUUACCGGAAAAAUAAAAAAAUUCAAAGUUAAUUAGUUUAGUUUGUUUUAAAAAUUUAAAAACUGGACACAAUAAUUUAGUUUGGUAUUUCAAAAACUUGAACUAACUCAAAAAAUUCAAAUUUUAUUAGUUUGAUUUUUGAUUUAAAAAUUUAAAAAUUAUCACAAAUUUAAUUUAAUAUUUAAAAAAUUCAAACUAACCCAGUUAACAUAUACCCAAUCAAAAAUGUACAAGUAAACAAAACCACAUUAUCCUUUUUUUUUCCUCUUAUUGUUGAAUGGUUCAAAUGUUACAAACAUAAUUAAAAUUGCUUAUUGGUGUAAUAUCAUUUUCAUAUGCAAUUUACCUAUCAAUAUCAUUAUAUGGUCUUUAUGCGCCGUUAAUAUCAUCAUAACAAAUCAGCCCCACGUAACCUUUUUUUUUAUUUGUCAAAAAAAUAUAUUCCUUUCGAGUCCAUUUCACACUUCAAAAAGUCGAUAAACUGGUCUUUAAGUAGAAAAUUAGAGGAUUAAUUAAUCAUAUUUAACUUUCUCAAGUAUCUUCUUUUAGAAUUCAUAUUUCGUAUCUAAAUAAUUAUUUGUAAUAUCACAUUAUUAAAAUAGUACAUUUUCUUAUGAGAUAUCAUGAUUUGAAAUCUUAAAAACAUAAAAACAUGUUAUCUGUUGUAACAAAUAAACAUGACUUGAUAAUAUAAGAAUUAUUUAUAUGAAUCGCGCGCGUUUAAAACUAUAACUUUGUUUAUUUCCUUUGAACUCUCAGGCCAGUUUGACUUGUUCAUUCAAAUUACUUGCCAUGACAUACGCAAUUUUAGACAAUAACGUGCCACCAAUUUCAUAAAAUUUCCUUCAAUAUUAUCAGACUUUUUCUUGGUAGUGUUACUUUAUAUAUACGACAUGUAUACAUAUAUAAUAUUUAUAGACUUUGGUUAGUAUAUAAAUAUUAUAUUACUCCUAGAAAGACAUUGCAAUGACUACUACUUUGAGAAUCAAUAGAUCGUGACACUAUGAUGAAUAUUAUGGCAUGGCUUAAGAAACUUAUUUUUUGAAAAAUAUUUUUUAUUGCCAACCAAUGUUGAAGGAAUCAUCAAAUAGAUUAAUUAUUUUGUUGAUAUAAUAUAUAUAAUAUUAAUAUUGUUUGUAACAAAUUUUAAAGUGAUCAAAAGUAAAUUACUAAUACAAAAAAAUAUGAAGAAACAUAAUUUUAUUGAUCAAGAUUGCGGGUACAAUUCUGUUCCUCUCUUGAUUCUAAUCUCUUAAGAUUUAUCAUGAUUCGAGGGCCGUUAGUGACAUAUUUCUCGAACUAUGAUGAUUAAAUGACCUCUAUAUGAUUAUUCCAUCAAUUUGCGGAAUAUUCGACAUGAAUUUAGUACCUUUAUAUAUGAAUGAAUUAGGGUUUAGGGUUGAGUAAUUCUUAAGAAAUAUAAUUGAAACUAAACACACCUUCUAGAGUCCAUAUUAAAUUAAACACGUCUUUUAGAGUACCACAAAAUGUUAAUGUGUACAAAUGCCCCCAGCUUCAAAGCUUGUAGGAGUAUAGACUUGAUGAAAUUCAAAGACAAGGCUUGAAGUGGUCAUUCUUCCUCAUUUACAGCUUCAGAUUUUCAGAUUUUAUUUACGAGAGAAGAGAUGAAGGGUUAAUUUGAUUCCACUGGUCGUAUCAAUUUGUUUGUAACAAAUUUCAAAGUAGUUAAUUAUUGUGAUUUUCUAAUAUGUAUUUCUUAAUAUUUAAAUAAUAUAUAUUACUUCCUUGUCCAAUUUAUGUGGCACUAAUAAAAUUUUGAAAAUCAAAUUUAUUUUCUAUGUCUUCAAUUUUUUAAUCAUUGUGAUAUAUAUUAUUUUAUACCAUCUUUAAACAAUAUAUAUUACUUAUAUAUCCCUAUUUAUUUGGCACUGAUUCAAGAAUUAAAUUGCAUUUUCUUUGUCUUUUAAAUAUUUUAAAAUUUUAAUUAUUAUAAUUUUUAGUAUUUUUUAUGUAAUUUUCAAAUAUUAUAUAUGAUUUCCUUUGUUUCAAUUUAUGUUGCACUGGUUCAAUCAAUUUUUUUAAUUUAUUUUUAAAAAAUUCAAGUUCUUGAUUAUGAGAUUUACAAUAAUUUUUAAAUAGUUUUCAAAUAAUACGAUUUUCAUUAUGUUUUAUACAACUCUUAAAUAUAUAAAAGACAGAACAUAUAUGAUAAAUAAAUUUUUAAAAAAACUAUUAAAAAACAAAAAUGCCCCUAAAGUGUUUUUUUUCUUCUAUUCUUGCUAUGCUGCCAAGCACGCAUAUUGACUAGGUUAUCCUUUCUUAUAUAUUAGUAACUGAUUUGCUAUUAAUAGAAACAAACUGUAAAAUGAUAUAAAAAGAGGAUAAUUAUCAAAGAAUAAUACUCCCACCUUACAAUACUUUUAUUUGUCUUCUAUAUAUCAAAUUAAUAUUUAUUUUAAUUUACUCGAUUUUAAUACCUUACAAAAGAUACGUUCCCACUUCGUAUUUAAUUUAUUCUUAUUCUUUAUCAUAGUUAUAUCUGAAUGCAUUUUUAAAAAUAUUGAAUUUAUUAAAUUUAAGGGAUGAUAUGUUAAAAUUGUUAUUACUCCUUAUAAAGUGUAUCAAGUCAACAUUAAACAUGUAAUAACGAAUGAAAGAGAUGUUCCUUUUUUUUUGUUUGACUCGAUACAGGAUUUAAAAAAAUAAAAGAUUUUUUUUAAAAAUUUUAUAGUCUUACAUUAAAGUUAUAAAAAAUAUAUCAAAUGGCUUUUAAGUUUAUGACCUUAAAAUGCCACGUGAAAAAUUGAAAUUAAAAUAUAUAAAAAAAAGGAAAGAUCAUUUUUUCAAACAAACUAAAAAAAAGUAGGUUUUUUUUUAAAAUGGAGGGAGUAUCACAUUAUAUAUUCAAAAUGCCAACAUCUCUUGUUUCAAUGUAAAACAUGUACUCCCUCGCAACUACAUAUCGUAUUUACUAAAAAUAGAUGUUACUUAGUACUUGUCAUUUCACAAAAUCAAUUUAUAAAUAACUCUAUUUUUCCUUUUAUUACUCUUGAGAUGUAUUAGCUUCGGAAAUAUAAAUUUGACAGACAUAAAAAAACAAGUAAAUAAUUCAUGUCCAUUGAUUAAAUUAAUUAGUGGGAAAAGACAUAAAUUCACUUCCGAGCUUGUCCUGAAAGUCAGUUACACAUAUAAACUAUUAUAGUGACGUAAUACACAUCUCUGCUACUAAAUAGUGAAUUAUUUACCCCUAAGACGUGUAUCAUCACACUCUUACAAUGAGAGGUGUAUCACACUUGCACCACAUCAAUACCAUGUCACUGCCAUAUCGGAUGUCAUGUCAAAUUUUGACUAAAAUUUUCUAUAUCAGUCAAUUGUUCAUCUUCACACCACCAUGAAACCACUACCAUUGCCACCAUAUUGCUACCAAAUCUAUAUUUUCACCAUGAAAAUAAAAAUAAUUACCAUAAAUUUCACCACUUACGAUCAAAUUCAUCAUCGAAAUCAUACUAUCACUAUUAUCCCCACAAAAAUUAAAAAGAUAUACAACAAAAUUUGAUACUCAUAAACAAAUUAAUUAUCAAAAUUACAUCAUCACCAUCAAAUUAAAGGUACAAACCCAUCACCAAAUAUCACUAUUAUCAUUAUUAAUAUUGAUAUUUUUUUCUCCACCUCCUUUAAUUCUCACUUUUUUGUCACCUCACGCUAAUAAAUUCAUCAUUAGUAUACUUUAUUUUUUAAACUUAAUCAUUAAUUUUAUCAACCACCAACAAAGUUGAAAAGAAAAAAAUCAAAAUGAAAAUAGUGAAAUCGAAUAUGUAUUAAAAUUGAAUAUAACAGGAGGAAGGGGGAAGAGGAUUUGGUGGAGGUAUAUAGUGGGGUAGAUGAAAAAUUGAGUUAAAAAUAUGAUUACAAAAAUAAAGAAGAAGAAGAUGGUUGCAUGUGAGAAGAAUAACAAGAGGCGUUGGGUGGAGGGUGGGGGCAAGGUUAUAGUAAAAAGGAAGAUUUUAAUUUGUUUUUUUACUUUAUUUACUGUUAAAUAUGUUUUUUUUAAAAAAAUUUUUGUCAUAUCAGUUUUGUGGAAUAAAAAAAUCAUUUUUGAAUAGUAAAUGUAAUAGGUCGUGUGAUACUUUAAGCAUGUAAUAUUAAUUGACUUUUCAAGAAAAGUUUAAGAGUGAAUUUAUGUUUUUUUUCUAAAUUAAUUAAAAUAAAAUAAUUUAUGUUCAUUGAUUGAAAACAUAACUUUAAGAGAAUACUAAUAAAAAUAUAAUAAUAACUUACCUAAUUUGUAAAAGAUAUAAAAUACAAUAAAAUGAUGAUAACUAAAUAGAAACCGGAGAAACUUCACAUUAAAUCAAAUUGGCUCCAAAUUUCUCAGUGGAAAUUAAAUGCUCUUGGAAACUUUGUAGCAUUAGUUGCUCACUUAUACUUUCUCGUUUUCACUUCAUGAAAUUAAUAGAUAAUUUUAUAAAAUUUAUCUUUAUCAUAAAGUUUUGUUAUAUAUUUAUAUUUUUUUUAUCCAUUUUUAUUUGUCAUGUUGCAUUUUUCAAAAAUCAAUUUGAUUAAUUUUCAGAGUUAAAUUAGAUUAUAUUAAUUUGAUAUGUUAAAUAAAGAAAUUUAGAUAUUCAAAAACUCAAAACAUACUAAAAAUAAUACUAUUUUUACAUAUCAAUAUAAUGAAAAAAUACAUCAUAGGCUGUUACUCAAAGUUCUGUUACUUUGAUUCUAUGAAAAUAAUGACAAUUAAAAUUGGAUAGAGGUAGUAUAAUAGUAAAAUUAUCUAUGUAUUCAUAGUUUCUUAAAAAGUGUGUGAACUGCGAAGUCAAUUGAGGAAAAAUAUUACUUUCUCUGUACCUAAUUUACUUGUCUACUUUUCUUUUUUGGUUGUCGCUAAUCAUUUGUCCAUUUUGACAAGUCAAAAAAUAAUUUUUUUACCUAUUGUACCCCAAUUAAUUACUUUGAAAAAGAUAAAAUUCUUAAAAAUCUUAAAUUUUUAAUGCAUCUAUUUCAUAAUUAUUAAUGAUAAAAUAAUAAAUUCGUUUUAUUAAUAAUUAUUUUUUUAAAUAGAUGUAUUAAUUGAAAAAUAAACAAAUCAAUACAUACAUACAUACAUAUAUAUAUAUAUAUAUAUAUAUAUAUAUGUAUGUAUGUAUAUAAGGACCAUAGACAAGGUGAUGUGGCACCUCUCUAUGGCCUCCAUUUGUAUUUUAGUUUUUUUUCCUUUUUUACAAAAAUAAAAUAAUUAUUAUAUCAUAAAAAUGAUUACUAAAAUUUAUUACAAAUAAAUAGUUUAUUAAUGGAGGAUCAUUUAUAACAAAAAUUCUUCAUCUUUCUUAUUUAUUUAUCUCACUUAUAAUAAAAAGAGAAAUAUAAUUUAUUUAUUUUUGACUUUUUUAAAAUUUAAAUUAAUUAUUUUAUUAUAAAAAUAUAUUACUUUAUUUAUACAAAUAAAUAUUUUAUAAAUGUAGAAACAUUUAUUAAAAAACUCUCUAUAUUUUUUUUCUAUUUGUUUCUCUCACUUCUAAUCAUGAAUAAUAGUUUUUUUUUUACAUUUUAAGUAUUUUUAUUUUUAAUUUUUAAUUUAUUCACUAAGAGUUACUAAUCAUGACUUGCUCCUCUUUAAUUUUUACUUUUAAUAAUAUUCAUAACUCUCAUAAUUUUUGUGUCCAUAACCUCCAAAUUAAAUUUGUAAGUUUAUGAUGUCUUGUGGUAUCCAUUUAUUUUGCCUAUAAAUUCAUAUUAGUUUAAUGAAGAUUCACAUUCACAUUCACAUUCACAAUUAUCCUUUCUCUUUUCAUCAUAUAGGUUUGGUUUGUAACAAAAAAAAGUAUGUAAAGGUAAGAAAUAUUUCAUUGCAAAUUUUUAUUUUUUAUUUUCUCUAUUUCUCUCUAUAUGUUUGUGAAUGAAACUAAAUGUAACCAAAAAAAGUACAUGAAGUUAAUAAAUAUAUCAUUCUCAAGUCCUUAUUUUUUUCAUUUCUUUUAUUUUGUUUAUAUGAAUUUAUAUUUAUUUUCAUGAAGAUUCACAUACAAAGUUAUAAUUUCUCUUCUUCAUAAUACUUUUUUGUAAAUUAACUAACAUGUAACCAAAAAAAAGUAUAUGAAGGUAAAAUAUAUUUCAUUCUAAAGUCUUUCUUUUUAUUUUUAUGUACUUGGACAUGCUUUCUUAAUUAUUAUUUUUUUAUGUUUGUAUUAUAAUUUAUUAAGUAAGUAUGAUUAAAAAAAUCUUUGUAAUUCUUAACAAUGUGUUGUCCGUAUGUAAUUGCUCUUUCUAAUAGUUAGUUUUCUAGAUUUAGUAUAGUUUGAUUAUAAUAUUUGUUAGAUUUCAAGAAAUAAUUAUUAUUUAGUAUUGUUAGUACUAUUGAAAAGAUAAUAUACAAAUAUAUUAAAUAUAAUUUAUAUUUCGUUCUUUCUUUUGACAUAAUUAUUUUUAAUUGGUAUAUGAUUUUUUUAAUUCAGUUGGUUGCAUAUAAUAAAGAGUUUGAUAUAUGGAUCAAAACAUGAUGACGGAUCUCUUUGCAAGAAGAUGGUACAAGGAAAAAAAAUGAAGCAUAAUUACAGAUUAUUUUUUCACUUUGAUUAAAUUUUGAUUUAUAUAAAUAAUUUAGCUAAAUAUAUUAUAUUGUCAAUGCUAAUUAUUUGAUCCUUUAGUAUUUCUACUUUCUUUUUGUUAUGAAAAAAAUUCGUAUAAUUAUUUCAUUUUAACAACAACAACAAAAUUUAUGAUGAUUAGUUUCAUUUUUAUUAUAAUUAUAAAAAGUAAUUGAAAAAUAAAAUAUUAUUUUCAUGAUGUUAUUUUUUGUGUAUGUAACAAUCUGUCACCGUUCUUUUUGCUUCGAAAUGUAUUUAUAAUUUUUAUGUAGUCACCAAUUAUUAUAUUUUCUCUGUUCAUUUUUUGUAUUUUCACCCCUUAUUUUAUUUAUUUAUUUUACAAAUAAAAUCAAUACAUAAUUAGUAAUACAUUUAUUGUCUAAUAAAAAUAUAUAUUUGAAUUAUUUACAACUCAUGUCUCUUCAUCUUACUUGUAAUGGUUGAUAUUAAAUAUCAUUCAUAACUUUUAUAUAUUUAUUUUUCGUAAGUCUAUAAAUAUUUAAUUAAUGUUUAAAAAUUAUAAUAAGUAAAUGUAAUAAUAAAAUUUAAAAAUAUCAAUGUUAUUUUGACGAAAUCAGAGUUUGAACAGAACAUUAGUACUGCUACAAAAGAUGGAACAUUAGUACUACUACAAAAGAUAUAGAAAAUUAAAACAUAUAAAAUAUUUUCAACCUAGUACAAUAUAUUGUUAUUCCAACAUAUUAUCUCUUAUUCCAUUUACUUCACCACGGUGAAUAUUUUGUUCUAAUAUAUAUAUAUAUAUAUAUGUAUGUAUGUAUGUAUGUUUUAAAAAAGUUUAUGAUAUCGCAGAUGAGGAGAAAUAUUAACAUCAUCUAAUAUAUUCGAUACUGAUCUAAAUAUUACAUAUUUCAUGUUAUUAUCUUAUAGAUAUUUUAUAUAGUCACAUGGAGCAUGAAUAAUUUCACUAGUAAUAAUUAAAGAUAGAAGAAGUAUUAGAUAGAAUAGUAAUAAUUAAAAACACAAAAAAAGUAUUAGACAGAAGAGUGUGUGCAUAUAUAUAUAUAUAUACUCAAUUUUUUGUUUGAAUUAGUUUAUUAUUUUACCCAUUAAAUAUGACUCAAACUAUGAGCUCAUUAAAUUAGAAUUUUAUGAUGACCUUCUAGGAUAGCAUGAAGGAUAGUAGAACAGUAUUCCAUAAAGUUUUUCUUAGGACUUCUCCAUAACAAUAACGUCAACACAAAAAAACAAACUUUUUUCAAACUCAUGCAUGUGAUUUCUCAAUCUUCUAGUGGAAAAUAUAUUGAGAGGGUUUAAUAUAUAUGUCAAAUAUAGUAAAUUUGUCAAAAUAUUCCGUUCAAACAUUUACAUUCAUCAAGUUAUAAUCGAUGUUAGUCGCCGAUUCAUAAUGUUACUAUUACUAGUGAUAGAGUUAGAAUUUUUGAUAAAAAAUUUAAAAUCUGAAAAAAUAAACGCAUAUAUAAAUAAAAUAAAAAUUUAAUUAUAUAUAAAUAAUAAAAACCCUCGAUAUAUGCUGACUCCGUCUGUAUAUUAAACACUUCGUUAAUAAUGACAAAAUUUUAUUAUCACAAGAUGAACGUGAAAGUUUGAUUGAAUAAUGAAUUAAUUAAAAAUAAAAAAUUACCUAUUGGACUUUUUUUUUUGUUGGUAAAACCUAUUGAUUUUUAGCUAUGCCUAGACAUUAGUUUUAAAAGGUCAAAUAAGAUUUUUUCAUUUGUCAAAACAAUACGCAAAUCGGACCAUAUUGUUUCCAAUUUUUUUGAGCUAUUUUUGGUCAUAAAACAUCAAGUAAAGAGAUACUUUUCUGUUAAUUUUUAUUUAUUACAAUUAGAUUUGGCACAUAAAAUAAUUAUUAACAUAAGUAUUAUAUCAAACUAUUCCUAUAAAAUAACACUUAGUACCUAAAUUUUAAAAAAUGAUUUGAAAAAAAAUAGUAUUUAAUGUUGAGGGUAAAAUAUGAAAAAAAUAUAAUGGACUUUUCUUGAUACGUUAAAGGUGAUAAAUAAAAUUGAAAAUCUAUUUUAGGAGUAAGUGACAAGUAAAAAUGAAUGAAUGAAAUGAAACUAUGAAAGAAUACAAAUAACCUCGUUCCAUUUUACUUGUUUAUCCUAGUUGGCACGCUUCUUAUGAAACUACUUCCUCCGUUUUAUUUUAAUAUAAUUACUUCUAUUUUUUUUUCACGAAUUGAAAAUUAUAGUCGAUUCUAAUUAUUUUAGAAUGAUAUAUUUUGGGAUAAUUUAUUAAAGUUAAAGUAAGAAUGGGAUGGGAAGAGUAUUUAUUAGGGGUUUAAUUUGUUUAGUUAAUUAUUUUUACUUUGAAAAUCUAAGUUUGAUUAUUACUCCUUUAGCUACUUAGAGUUAUGAUAAUAAUAAUUUUGAGAUCAGUUAUGAGGGAGUUUAUAUAUUUUAUGUAUUAUCUAUGUUGGUAUGUAUUAGUUGUAAUUGCUCCUUUUGCCAAAGAAAGUAACUUGCUUAAUUUUUUUAUAUGGCAGCAAUGUUUAUCAUAUUACCACGAUAAAAAAUAUACAUAUCUUUUCGUUGCACUAAUCUUAGUCAAAAUAUCUGGGACUCGAUAUUCAUCCCUAAUACAAUGAUUUAUGGAUGAGUAAUAAUCAAUUGUAAGUACCAUUUAGGCUUCACUUUUCCUCGAAACAUCUGGAUGAUUGACAAUGAAUCCGUUUCAAGGAUAACAUCGUUGUAAUCACUAUUAGUUAUUCAUCGUUUAGUUAUUUAUAUAUUAGUUAUAUACUAGUGUAGCUUUUUACAUAUAAGUUUUUCAUAUGUUAUCUUAUUUAUUUUAUAUUUUUUCCUACAUAAAUAUACUUAGAUCAUAGAUGUCUUUAUAACUUAGAAUUUGAAGUCAAAAGGGCAAAAAAGAUUAUCAAAAAUUUUAAAAGGGUACAUUAAUUUUUUUUAAAUCAAAAGGAUAAUAUUGCUCCUGACGGAACGAUUUUCUUAUGACAAAAUUGACGUGUUAAUUUUUUUUAGAAAAAUAUAAAAAUUGCUGCUGUGGUAGCGAUUUCAUCCAAAAAAAAAUUCUUUUUCCUUAAAUCGCAUCCAUAGCAGCGAUUUGUCAAAAAAAAAAUUUAACAAAUAUUGCAAGGGCAGACCAAAUGUUGGACCAAAAUGCCAGCCUCUAUUAACUUUUUUAAUGAAAAAAAAAUUGUUGCUCUAUAGCAACGAUUUCAAUUUCAAUUUUUUUUAUGCAAUGCUGCACUCGCAGCGAUAUUUUUAAGAAAUUGUUAGAAAAAAAUCACUCCGUCAGGAACAAUUUACCGUUUUGAUUAAAAAAAAUUUAUAUAUCCUUUCAAAAAUUUUGACAAUUUUUUUAACUUCGAAGUCUCAUAAUUUAUAUAAUUAAUUAUGUGACUUUUUACAAAUUACAAAAGAGACAUUAAUAUUAGUAUUAUUACAUAAAUAAAAUUACUGUUAAUACUAUACAUGAAUAACUUUCUGCUUUAUAAUCAGCUAUCAAAUGACCUCAAAUGAUAUUUAGAAAACAUUACUAAUAAUAUAAAGGACAAAUAAUAUAAAAUGAUGACCUAAGUUGCAACUAAGUAAAAAUGAGAAGAAAUAUGUGGCUUGACUUGUGGAAAGAAAAAAGCAAUAGGUCCACAAAGGGGGCCAAGGCCAACAUAUGAAUUGGUCAAUGUACAUCUUCCAGACAGAAUCCUGACUUUUAUUAUUCAUUUCUCCAAUAUGCAUGACCUCUUGCAAUCACAAAAGACUUUUGAGUUUUUCUUUUUUCCUUUUUUUCUAACUUGGAUUGUUCAAGUCAAUUGUAUGCCCACACUAGUGGACUACCACACUUGUUUUAUCAUAUUACUAAAAACACUAAUUUUCAAAAAUAAGAAUGUGACAUGUCUUUUACCUUUCAAAAUUCUCCUUGUAAUGCAUGCAUCAUCAUAACUUCAUCUUUUGUACUUCUCUUCUUUCUCUACUUCUUCUUUAAUACGAUAUUCAGUAUCUAUAUUGAAAUAUAAUUAAAUUUACAUUCGCACCAAAAAAAUUCAUAUUUGUGGGUGGGUUGGGUUAAAAUGCUCCAUAUAUAGCUAACAAAGCCGAACCCCAUAUCAUGAGGUCACAAACCCGAUUUUUCAGGUUAUGAUGUCACCUACUACAGUCCACCAGUAGGUGAUGUUUGGAAGCUAUAGAUGUAUUCUAAUUUUAUAUUAGAGAGAUUAAGAAUAUGUAUUAUGGAGCCAAGACUCAACUAGGGAUAUAGGGAGAGUAUUCAAAGCAUUGUCUAGUCGUAAUGACCUUGCACUCUGGAAUAACUCUUUAAACAUUUCUAUUUAAUUAUUAGGGGAUUGAAAAGACAAUACUGGAAUAAAUAUUAGGUUGGAGGUUUGGAGAUAAACCUAGAGUCUUAAGAGUUAAGGUUGAGAAAGACUAAGAUAGAAUAUAUAUAUAUAUAUAUAUAUAUAUAUAUAUAUAUACUUAGAGUACAUGUUUUGUGACGCCAGUAACAUCAAAGAUGUGAAAGUGAAGAUUGAUACAUAAGUCAUUUUCAAAUAAUGAAGUUUCAAAUAUCUAGAGUUAAUAAUUUAAGCAAAUGGGGAGAUUGAUGAGGAGGUUACACUUUUAAUCGAAGUGGAGUUGAUUAAAAGAAGCUUACAUUUGUGUCUUGUGUGAUAAGAAUGUUAGACUAAGAUAUAAGUUUUAUAUAUAAAAUGGUGGUUAAGUCAACUAUGUUGGAUGGGCAGGGUUGUUGGCCGGUUAAUAAUUCACAUGUCUAUAAGAUGAUAGUAGCACAAAAAGGAUGUUAAGAUGAAUGUAUGAUAUAUAAGAAGAUAUAAGAUAAAUAACAAAGAUAUCUUGAACAAGGUGGGCAUAAAAUAAGAUGAGCGACGCCAUACUUAAAUAGUUCAAAUAUGUGAAGAUAUGAGAGAUUGUCUACAUUGAGUAUAAGGAGAGGUAGACCGGAGAAGUAUAAGGGAAAUAUGAUUAGAGAACACAUAUCAUAUUUAUAGCUUACCAAGGUUUGAAACUUUUCGGGCUGAAUCAAAACUUUAAGCAGACUCAAUCAGACACUAUACGAUAAACCAAAAAAAAAAGGACAAAACUUUUAUAUUAUAGCUUUAUAAUGUGUUUAUACUUAGUUGUUAAGUGAGGUGGACUAUAUUUGCAACGUUCCAAAGGGAAGAAGACAAGUAUUUUGAAAAUGAGGAAUUACAUAAUUAUUCGAUUAGAAUUUGCAAAUUGUAUGCUGGACAAUUAUCAGUGAAAUGAUAGUAAUUUUAAUUGGAAUAAUAUCACACAUAGUUAAAUGAUAAUAGUAUUUCAUAUGAAAAAUAUCUCACACACAGUUAAAUAAUAAUAAUAAUAAUAAUAAUAAUAAUAAUAAUAAUAUUUAAUUGGAAAAAUAUCAAACUUUGGUAUAAGUAGAAUUUAAAUCUCAGACCUUCCAAUUGCGCACCUAACUCAUAAAUGACUCGAACCUUUUACCAAGUAUUCCUUACACACUUUUCUUUUAUCACAAUAUCCUAAUAGAAAUUUUUGAGUGGACUCCCGGCAUGUUCAAUAGGGAUCUUUUGGAACUUAAGAAAAUACAUUCUUUGUUUUAUAUUAAUUUUUUACAUAUUUAUCAACAAUUUAUUAGGGAUAAUGCACAAGUACCCCCUCAACCUAUGCCCGAAAUCCCAGAGACACACUUAUGCUAUACUAAGGUCCUAUUACCCCCUGAACUUAUUUUAUAAGUAAUUUUCUACCCCUUUUUAGCCUACGUGACACUAGUUUGAAAAAAAUGUCAACCAUCGUUGGGCCCACAAGAUAGUGCAACGUAGGUCGAAAAGGGGUAAAAAAUUAUUAAUAAAAUAAGUUCAGGGGGGUAAUAGGACUUUAGUAUAGUAUAAGUGUGUCUCUGAGAUUCCGGGCAUAGGCUAAGGGGUACUUGGGCAUUAUCCCAAUUUAUUAAUCAAAGAUUUUUUUUUUCUAAUUUAUUCUUGUUGCUCCUUAAUAAAUAUAUAUUUUAUUUAUAACUAAGACCAAGCUCAUUGUUGGUAUUUGAACAAUUACAAUAUCAACUAAUAAUUACUUGUUUGAACUCUUCAAAUUUAUACAAUAUAAUCAAUAAAUUAAUCAGAGCACUUAAUUGUAUCAAAGAUAAAAUGAAAAGAAUUAAUUGAUUUUCAUCUCUAUUUUUGUAUAUUACAAAAUACUUUUAAUAAUCUUAACAACUAGUAUGUGAAGAAAAGAAUAACGUAUCUGAAUAUUUAGAAAUAAUCAAAAUUAUAAACUAUCCUUUUCAAUAUAAAUGUGACAUGAUGUUACAACCAUAAAAAUAUUUGAAACAUAUUAAGACCAUAAAUUUCAAAAAAAAAAUAAAAAUCGUUCACAUAAAAUAAAUGGAGAGAAUAAGUAUUUCUUCUAAGUCAUUUUUGAAUAAUCAACAAAUUAAAAUAGGCCAAUUAUGUUGGGUGGUCUUUGACCAAAGCAACUACAAUCUCUAGACCUUUCUCAUUAAAAAUAAUAUUUUUUUUCAUUUUUAUUUAUUAUAUUUCAUUUUCUUCUUUAGCUUAUUGACUAACAAAAACUCUAUAAAAUAUCCAUGCACUAGCUCAUAUGAUUAAUUUUAAAAAAAUGAGUGAAAAAAGAGUAGAAAAAAUGGAAAAUACUAUAGUAUGUGAGAGUAAGAUAAAAAAUAGUGAUGAUGAUGAAGAAAAUGAUUUGUUGCUUCCUGGUUUUCGAUUUCAUCCAACAGAUGAAGAGCUUGUAGGGUUUUAUCUUAAACGCAAAGUGGAAAAUAAAAGAAUCAAACUUGAUCUUAUCAAAGAGGUUGAUAUUUAUAAACAUGAUCCUUGGGAUCUUCCAAGUGAGUAUAUAUGCAAUUCACUAAUUUUUUAUGUUCAAUUUUAUUAUGAGUUUGUGCUCAAAGGUGGAUCGACUUAUUUGGUUUUAAUGGUUCAUGUGAAUUUAGAAUUUUUAUUCAUGUCAUAUAAUAAGUAUAUAAUAGGUAGUUUUGUGUUCUAUUUCUCACAAUUUUAUGUCAAAAGAUGGAUCUACUUGGUAAUUUAUGAUUUAUGUGGAUUCAUAGAUUUUGUUCCGAUCACAUAUACACAAAUUGUUAAUUUUUUGUUAUCUUCUUACACAAGUCUAUAUUCAAAUAUAUUGGUUAAUCUACUUAGUAAUCUAUAACUCACGUGAAUUCAUUGUUUUUGCUCAGAUUUUAUAUACAAGUUAUUUUAUAUUAUCUUUUUUCAAAAUUUAUGUUCAAACACUAACAAAAACAACUUUUAACGGCAUCAUAUAUUGACACUCAUAAAGAGUGCUAAAUUCUUUACCUGCAUUAGUUAAGUGUCAUUAGAACCAAUGUCGCUAAAUGCUUCAGAGACAUAUCCAAAGAGUGAAAUAUACUGGUCAAUCUACUUAACAUAAAUAAAACUCUCAUUUUUGCUAUUAUACAAGUUAUUUUAUGUCAUCUUUUUGCAUAGUCUAUGUUCAAAUUGGCCAAAUCAUUUAGUAAUCUACGGUUCAUAUAAAUUCAAUAGUUUUUAUUCGGAUCUUAUAUAUACAAGUUUGGUCAUGUUGCUAGUUUGCACAAAUCUAUAUUCAAAUAUAUUGACCAUUCAAUCGUUCACGUGAAUUCAAAAAAAUUUAUUGAAGAUUUUAUACUUUUUAUGUUACCUUUUUUCUUGAUUGUGUGUGUGUGGUUUUUUUUUUUUUUUUUGCUUGGUUUCAUUAAAAGAGAUUAAUAAAAUACUUGAGCAAAUUUGUUUUAUGUCCAUAACCAGCAUCAAAAUGAUUAGAAUUGUAGGUCAAGAAGACUAAGAAAUUGUGCUAGCUUAUCCGUUUCCACUACUAGUAAUACAUAAGUUAGUGAUAGAUAAAUAUUAUAAUUAAUUUAUAAAAUAUAUUGCUAUUUUUAUUUAGCUAUAAAUUUUCAAAAACAAAAUUAUUAAUUAUGCACAUAUCUAGUGAUAAGCCAAAUUCUUUGGACAAAACAUUCCUCUACUAUAUUCUUCAAUUAUGAAAUUAUAUGACAUGAUUGAAAGAUAAGCUUCUAUCGAUGAACGUGUCUUAUCACUAGUUGAAGCAAGUAAUAUAAAGUUUAAAAUUAAAAUCGCGAUAAGAAAAAUAAAAUCCUCUAAAUGGUCAUUUUCCUUGUAUUGCUGAAAAUAUUUUCAUAUCUUUUAGUAUAAUCAGAUUUCACAAUUAAAAUGACUAUUUCACGACAAAUUAAACAUUUUUUUUCUUGAAAUGCCCUAGGUAACAAAAAUUUCUCGAAUAACAUAAAACUAUUUAAAAUUAAUUAUUUCUAUAUUUAGUCUCUAUGUAUUCUUCUAAUUAUUAUGUGAAUGUGUUUUGACUAGAUCUAAAUUUUUAAAAAGAAUUAUUUAUUUUCAGAACUUGCGGCUUUAAUGAGUAGAUAAUGAUUUGAAAUUACAAAAUAAUCUCAUUAAUUAGAAUAGGAUAAGAAGUGUAAAAUUAUAUAAUUUUAAUAUAAUAACACAUUAUUCUUUUCAAAAAAAGUAAUAUAUAUAUAUAUAUAUAUAUAUAUAUAUUUGUUUGACCUUUUCAUGCAACAAUUAUUGACCCCAAAGUUGUAGGAACGAUAAGAACAAUUCAUAUAAAAAAGACAAUAAAUUAGAAAGUGACUUUGUCACUGUCGUUGACCAAGUUUACAUUAUUAGCUAAUUCAAACAAGACAGCACGAAUUUUUUUUGACUAUAUAAUAUAUAGUAUCCAUAUUAUAAUAAUAAUAAUAAUAAAUAAUAAUAAUAAUAAUAAUCUUACUCUUAUAUAUCAUUAAAAUAUUUAGCUUGAGAGUAUUAGAAGCAACAACGACAGUAUCUUUGUCCACAUGAAUACGUGGUAGAUAAAGAAAUGCAUGUUCGAUCUAAAGUUGUAAUUAUAUUACUUGUUUAUUUUUUAUUUUAUAACAAAUAUUUAUUGAUUAAUUCUUUGUCUUUUAAAUAUAUUUUUAUUUAUAUGUUUUGUCAAUCAAUAUCAAAAUUAACAACCGGUGAAUUUUUUAAAAUUAUUCUUAAGGAUAAAGUGGAAAAAAUAAUCAAUUUUAUCUUGAUUUAGGAAAUGGCAAGUAAUAUAAAAAUAUAUUUUAUAAGUAGUGUGAGACACAUAAAAUAUUUAACAUAUGACUUUUGUUAUUUUAAAUAUGUUAUGUCAUUCAUGUAACAGAAUAUGAAAGUGAUGAAAUUUAUACUUACUGAACAUAAAAAGAUGAAAUUUUAUUUUAAAUAAACUACGGAGAAAAAGUAAUAUUUUUUGAAAUAGACUAAGAAAGAUAAAGACAUAAAAUUUGAAUCAGAGUAAGAAGUUUAUAACAAUUUUAUACUAGCUAAUUUUAUAAUAACUCCAUAUAACUAUCAAUAAUAAUUAAUCGAAUUAAUAUCUUGGAUAAGAAAGAAGAUAAUGUGUGAUUCGAACUAAGUGAAGUGCAUUAAAGAUUGAGGAAGGAAAAGUAUUGGUGGAAGAAACACACACAAGACAAAGAUAACACUAAAUGAUUGGAGAAGAUAAUAGAUGAGGAUGAACGUGUGUCAAUACAAGCAUUAGUUAAGUGUCAUUAGUUUCAAUGUCGCUAAAAGUUUCAGGAACACAUUUAUACAUAAAAUGUUAAUUAUUGCUAAAAAUAUAUAUUUAACGAUAAUUAAGAAUUAAUUACUACUAAUGAUCAUAUACUUAAUGUAGUGUAUUUUUGUAGUCAUUAUGAGGGUUAUAUAUGAAGUUGUACAUGAGAUAAGUAUAUGUUUGUAAGCUAAUUGUUUUUGUUUUUUUUUCAUUUGUAUGAAGAAGUGAUGGGCAGAGUAGGUGAUAAUAAGGAAUGGUAUUUCUUCAGCAUGAGAGGAAGAAAGUACAAAAACAGUGUAAGACCAAAUAGAGUAACAGGAUCUGGUUUUUGGAAAGCAACAGGAAUUGAUAAGCCUGUUCAUUCACAAAGCAAUGAGCUGUGCAUUGGCCUCAAAAAAUCAUUAGUAUAUUAUAGGGGAAGUGCUGGAAAAGGUACUAAAACUGAUUGGAUGAUGCAUGAGUUUCGUCUACCGCCUAUUUGGAAGACGAAUACUUCAAAUGGACAACACCUCCCGAAUCUCAAGAACAUUGCUGCUGAAGCUGUAAGUUUCUCGAUAUGGACUACUCUUCUAGUUUCUUGUUCUUUGAUUUUCUAUUGUUUCGUGUAGUUUGUUUGUAAGAAUCUGUUCAUCUUUCGAGUUGGUGGUCUACUAGAAACAGUCUUUUUGCAUCACAUAUGAGAUAGAGGUAAGGUCUGUGUAUACACUAUCCUCCUCAGACAUCAGUAUGUGAGACUACUUACAUUGAUUAUUAGCUAGUUGAUCUCUAUCAUGUUACCCUUUAUAUAGGUAUGAACGAACUUGAAAUUUUCGUUACCUUAGAGUUCAAUAGUCCCCGAGAAUCCUGGCAUACAAUAUACAACAACAACAUAUGCAAUGUAAUACCAUACACAGAUCUUAUCCUUACCUUUGUGGAAUGGGUAGAGAGGUUGUUUCUGAAAGACCUUUAACAACGUGACUCAAACCCUCAACCUAUUGGUCGACGGUGGAGGUGCUCAAUCGCUUCAAACAUAGCCACAUUCAUGACUUAUUAUGUUUAGAGGCAGAUUGAUAUUGGAUCACCCUCACUCUUGUAUAUCGAAUAUUCAUAAAUUGCAGGAAGUUUGGACUCUCUGCAGAAUAUUCAAAAGGAUUUCCAAUUACAAAAGAUUCACACCAGAUUGGAAGCAGCAGCAGCCAGUUGUUAAACAAAGUUUCGUUGACACAAGUUCUAAGGCAUGCAGUGUUCAAUCCGAAAUCAGUGAUGAUCAAUCCAAUAAUGUCAUCAAUUUCAAAAAGAUGGCAUUUCCACAAAAGAGCAUUAUGAAUGCAUCAUGUGGAGGAAAUUUAAACUAUCAAGUUGAUCAAAGAAACAGUUACUACAAUAAUAGCCAACUAAUUACGACCAUGCCUGAUCAAUCGCCAUUCACAUCAUCAAAUUCAAUCUUUUGGAACACACGUGCUGAAGAUCAGGAGUAUUUGUUUAGUCAUGGAAACUGGGAUGAGCUCAAAUCUGUCGUUGAUUUAGCCAUUGAUCCUCGUAGUCUCUUUGGAUUUAAAUAAGCUGGCCUGGAAGCAAAAAAGACUUGUGACUUGUCUUUAUAGGAGCACUCUUGGUAUACAUAUACGUGUUGAAUCAGUGACGAAUCCAAAAUUUAAAGUCAGCAGGUUCUGUUCUUAAUCCGUUAAUCGUAUCUGUGUUAUUCCUCCCCACACAUAUUCAUAAUCAGAGCUAGACGCGUGCAGCAGAUUCUGAAUCAGUUGUUGGGAUUGAAGUUAACACAGUGUGAUAUGCUUUCUACAUUUUUUGUUUAUUAGGACUUGCAUACAUCUUGUAAAUUACUAAUUUCCUAGAGUACUUUCUUGUACUGAAUUUCAUAGAAUACUUUUUUGUUCAGAGUACAUUACAGUAAGAGAUGGUUUUAUGAGGGAACAAAUAUUAGGUUCAUCACUAUCUUUCGCGUAUAUAUAUAUAUAUAUACAUACGAAUAGACGUUAUGAUAACUUGGUUAUGAAGAUAGCAAGACAAUAUUCUAACUUGAUUUGCAGCUUCUUGAGCGUGAGAACUCAUGGUUCUCAACUCACUUCAUAGACUAUUGCUAUUAUGCAUUGUGUGUGUCUGAUAUUAGUCUUCUUGAAGAACAGAACAACAAGUCCAGUACCAUUUAAUUAAGAUAUGUCUGUUAGUAUAAAGGCUUUAGCUUUUGAAUGACAGAAACAUCAAUGUCCCAAAAGUACAACGAAGGAUAUCUGCAUACUAUUUCGGAGGCAUAUUUAUCCUCUUUCCCUUAAAAUUAUGUCACACCCUUGAGUGCACAACCCCUCAAUAAUGCCAACAAUCAGUUGGUAUUUUGGCUUGAACAAGUUCUCCUUUAAACUCUGUUACUCCUUUUUUAUUUACCUUAUUUAUUCUUCUACUCUAAUAGCCUGAAGUUGGAACCAUAACAAUAUGUAACAGCUGAUUUGGAGUGAUGUUAUCGUAAUAUUUGCUUCUAUUUGUCUUUAUUUAUUAUUUAUAUUUUAUAAUUAUAUUUCAUCUUUUACCCUAAUUUUUUAUAGUAGCUCUAUCAUGCAUCUUACUUUUCUGAUUUCCUUGUUCAAAUUAUGAAUGUGUGACAUUAUGUAACGACGGAAAAUAAUAUCUAUCCAAAUAUUGUAUUCAUUAAAACAAUAAAAAUUAGGAAAAUUUUUCAAAAUGUCAAUAUUUUAGCAUUUUAGAGUACUCAUUAGCAACACUUUCAAUAUUUAGUAAAAAUGUCAUAUUUUAGUUUGUUAUGUAUCUUAUUUAUGUUUUUAUUAUUUGUUUUUAUUUAAAGAAUAUAAUUAUUUAAUAACAAAAGGAAGAAAAUUAAGGGAGAGAAUAUUUCAAAAAAAGGUAAGCAACCUUAAUUUUCUCAUCAGUUAAUUUUCAAAUAAAAAUUUAAAUUUGUUUUUUUUCUCUCCGGAAUUUUUACCUUUUUAAAAUUAUAUUAAUUCCACAAUAUAUUCUAUUUAUAUUUAUUAUAGUUUUUUAUUAAUUUAUAUUCAUUCCAAUAGGUAUGCCAAAUUUUUCUAUAUAGUCAUUUAAGAAAUAUAUUUGUAUUUUCAUAUAUUUUUUUCCCUAUAUAGUUAUUUUUUUCUUCAAAAAUCUUGUAUGUAUUCAUUUCAAUAUGUAUUUUAUUUGUAUUUCUAUUUAUUCUAGUUUUUAUAUAGAAUUUUGUAUAAUAACAUAUAAAAUACAAAAAUUAGUAUAAUGAAAAAGUGAAUAAAAUAAAAGAAAUAAUUGAAUAUUUAGUGUACUCAUUCUUAAAUAAAAUACAUAACUAGUUGCCAUACCUUUAGAAUAAAUACAAAUUAAAUUAGAAAAAAAUGUCAAAUUCAGAAACAAUGCAACAUAAUUUUUGAAUUACUACAACUAUUAAUUGUAAAAAUACAUACUGACUAAAACAUGAUCAAAAUUCAAUAUAUACUUCCAAAUAUUUAUGAAUACAAAAAACAAUAAAACUAUGAAAUACAAAAAUAAAUACUAACUGUGGUACAUUGACAUAACUAUCACAAAAAAAAAAACAGAAUACAAAAUGAAUUAAAUAAAUGAAAUACGAUUCCAAAUCUAUGGAUACAAAAUACAAUAAAACAAUGAAAUACAAAAAUACAUAAUGACUAAAACAACAACAAAAUUCAAUAUACACUACCAAAUCUAUGAAUACAAAAAACAUCAAAACUAUGAAAUAUACACAAUCAAACUCAUAUAAUGUGUUACAUUGACAUAACUAACACACACACAAAAAAACAGAACACAAAAUACAAAAAAUAUAUGAAAUACACAAAUAAAUACUAACUAUAACAUAAUAAAAAUUUCAUAUACACUUUCAAACGCAUUGUAACAUGAAUUUUUUUUAAUCUUAAAAAUUACUAAACAAAUUAAACUAAACAUGCAAGACACAGAACAUGCAAAAAAAAAACACUUCUCCAACAAAUUGGUCUUCUUCAACUUCAUUAUUAUUAAUUUGUGUGUGAUUUUGCACAUUGACGGAUUCAGACAUUUUUCCCCAUCGUAUAUCUUUCUUAGAUUUAGAAGCGGCACCUACAUUGUUGUUUAAUUCUUGAGUGAAAAAAAAUUAAAUGAUGGAAAAUCGGAAGAACUUUGAUUAUUUUGUGUCAUACCUUUAGUAAGUCUCUUGAAAACGUCCAUUGAAGAGAGAAUUAUGUAGUCUCAAACCCUAAAAAAUGUUUUAAGAACAACUAUAAAAUUAAAAAAAUUAAAAAAACACUGAAAUCAGUAAGUAAAUAAAUAAGGAAUCUGAAAACAUAAUACUCAAAUCAAUAUUAAUCUUCAAAUCAAAUCUUGCAACGAAAUUAAAUAAGAAUAAUAGAAAACAUUAAUAUAUUGAAUCGAAAAUAUAUGGAAUUUAUUUGGAAGAAUGUUAGAGAAAUUAAAAAGAAGAAUAAGAAAAGAGAGAAAAAUCAGGAGAUUUGAUUAGGAAGAAAGUAAGAGAGAAAUUGAUAAGCUUAAGAAAAGAGAGAGAAAAAUUAAAAUAAUAUUAAUAUCUAUCAAAUUACAUAAAUAUAAGAAAAUGUGUAAUCUAUGUGAGAGAAAAAAAGGGUGUAAAUAAUGAGAGAGAAAAUAUUAAUAAUAUCAGAAUAAUUAUUUAUUUUUAAAAUAAUGACAUUUUUGACAUGUUUACUAAUAUUAUUAAAUUAUGAAUAUUAUCACUAAAUAAGUUAAUUUUUUUGACUAGUUAGCUAAAUUUCCCUAAAAAUUAUGAUAUAUUAUGAAAUAAUACGUAACAACAAUCCAAACAAAGUACAUGGUCUAUUUUGUUUCUAACCCAUAGAUUACAAUGGGAUGGAACCAUUUUAGUGAGUAAAAAGAAGAUACUCAUCUUGUUUUCUUCUCACACCAAAAAGAGACAGAAGAAGAAUAUAAACACUUGAUGGAAUCACACUAUCAUAAAAAUGACCAUUAGCAGCAUUUAAUUCAUAAUUGCCGCUAAAUAUAUAUUUUUAGCGGCAAUUGUCACUAAUUGUCUAUGUUCCUUGUUGACACCCAAUUUUUGACCCACGUUGGUAUAAAUUAAUUAUCGAGCUUCGUGAGUUUUUCAAAUUAUUUGAGUUAAUUAGUUUGGUAAAUCUUGCGAAAACGAAAGAAAAUAUAUAUAUAUAUAUAUAUAUAUAUAUACGUAUAUAUAUAUAUAUGUAUAUGUAUAUAUGUAUAUCUUUAGUUUAGAAAGUAUUCCAUUAAACUAGUUUGCUUUAAAUCACAACUAUAUUUUGAAUCAUUAUUUUAUAAUUCAAAUAGUUAUGUUACUAAAUAAAUAGGCUCGUUAAUGAAUUUAUACCAAAUUCGUUUUAAAUCAAUUGGCCAUUAUUUAAAUUUAACUCUUUCCUUUAAUCCUUUUGAAGAACUGAAUUCAGGUUCAAUCUCCUUCAAUUUCAAUCCAACAAAAUUCAAACCCAGCGGCCCAUUUCUUAAUUCUCAGGCCCAUCCCGAACCCCCUAAAAUGUUUUCAAAACAAAUUUUUCUGUUUAAGUUGUUUUGGAAAUAAGUUUUCUUGAUUUUUCCUAAAAAAUUAAGUGGCGACUCCCAAAAGUCGAAAAUAUCCUUUAAUAAAACAAACUCUUUUUCGAAAUCGAAAUUUUUUUCGAUAAAACAGAAAUGGCGACUCCGCUGGGGACGGAGAAUUCUAACCCUAAGAUUAACUUUGUUUGACUAACUUGUAAUUAAUUGUUUAAUUGCUUAGAUUACUUAGUUUUUAGAAUUGCAUUUUUUCUCAUGGCAUAAAUUUCGCCAAACGGCAACUAGUUGCAUUAGGAAACGCAAGUUACGCGGCUUACCACGACUUCUCUCAGAAAAACCCCAAGAACUUAUUUGGGAGUAUCAAAUAAAUAGUCGGAAUGCGGUCAUCCGACGUUAUUCGAUAUCUCCACCCCGAUGUUUGUCCGACUCGGGUAACCGUCUAUUUGAAAACAAUUCUAGAAAAGCCUAAGUUAGAGCGAAACCAAAACCAAAAUUAGGCAUCAGCCUAGGACGACUUAAUACCCAAGGCGUAUUAAGUCCAUUUUAGUAGAAAACCGCCAAAAAUCGCGUCUAAGGUCUUCGACCUCACGACGCAUCAUGUUAUCUGACAUUCGAAAAUGUAUGUGUGAAAAAACUAACUUGGGGGUAGGGGAAAGUCUAACGGGUUUCUGUUUUGCAGAUGUGGACCGUUUUCCAAAAUUUGACAUGGUCAUCUCCGCGCCACCCCAACUUGCUAUGUGGCACAACGACUUAGACGGAGAUCAUAAGCGAACUCUCAACAAAUAUAUAGGGGCCUUGACCGAGCUAAUCAACAUGGACGGUUGGCCAGAGUUGAUCGAGGUUCUUACCGGGUACUGGGAUAGCCAAAGAAUGGUCUUCCAUUUCGGAACGGCCGAAAUCACCCCUACAUUAGAAGAAUUAAGAGAUAGCAAGAGGACGUGUUUAUCCCCAACAAACCUUCCGUUGAGAACAUCUCGGAUUGGUUAGGGCUAAGAAGGGAUUACACCUAUUGGUGUCAAGACUCUCACGUAAUGUUCAGGGAUUUGUAUGUCAGAUUUGGACACGCGAGUUUCUAUGCCGCGUAUAAUCGGGAAUUUAGAAUUUCCUACAGAGAGUGGAAUGAGCUCCGCCCGUUGGCGUUUGCCAUAGCCUUGUUGGGAACAAUGGUCUUCCCGCACGGCCCGAGCAUGAGCAUCAACACCAGAGUCAUAACACUCGUCCGGACGCUGUUCAAAGGGUACAAGAAUCAAGGAACGACGAAGUACUACUCCGUAGCUCCGGUCAUAUUAUCGGACAUAUAUCGCGCUUUGGGUAAGUGCAAAGAGGGACAUCGGUACUUCCAGGGGUGUAACCUGCUCCUCCAAUGGUGGAUUCUCAGCCACCUGGCGAAGGGUGCUGGAACUCGAGAAUUGCACACUCUCGACAACAAGAACACUCUCAAAGAGCUGAACGACUUGCUAUUCUGGGCCAACCUGAAUAAUCGGAGAACGAGAGGGAAGUGGGCCCAAAUUUUCUCCGAGUUGAGAGAAGAGGACCUCCAAUGGAUGCUCGACCGCUUCAUAUCCAAGGAAGUUGUCGUGGAGGGUCGUAGAUGUGUCGUGCUCCCUCUACCCGGCAUUCGAGGAAUUCGCCCUUACGCUCCAUUCCGAGUCUUGCGACAGUUCAGAAGGAGGCAGACUGUUCCUAGAGAAGCGUAUUAUGGCGCUUAUGUAUACGAUAUUGGGGACGACAGGGUGGACGACGCUACAGAGAUGCUCAGAGAAUGGAAGAAUGCCAAGCGCAUGGGCAAAGACAGUAUCGCCCCUGACCGAUUCAACGCUGGAUGUGACGAAGGCUACAAAGCAUGGUUGAAGAAGGAUAUACAAAACAUCUCCUUUCAAAUUCCGCGUAGCUUUCGCAGUGUGACAGACAAAGAGGCCAAAGCAGAGGCCGAAUUGCGAGAAUUAAAGGAAGAAGCUAAUGAGGUCUACGCCAAAUUCGUAGAGAACCAAGACGCACUCGAGAGGGCAACUCGAGAGAUCGAGAGACUGAAGCAAGGGUAUGACGAGUUCGACAGCUGGAUCCAGCAGAAAAUUGAGAGAAUGCGAUACGAGAGCUUGGAAGACAAAGGGCGUCUGGGUGAAGGCUUUCUGUUGAUGCUGAGGUACAUGUUCCAACAGCACAAAAACCAGAAAGACGACGACAGAGCGGGAUCGUCCGGAGCAGCAUAGUGGAUAUCGCCCCUGCGCGGGUUUUUCUUUGUCUGUAUUUGCAUUGUUUUAGCCCCUGCGUGGGCCUGAUAUUAUCACACUUUCUAAAUAGCCCCUGUGUGGGUUUGUUUAUUUCCCUUUUAAAACAUUUCCCUCAUUGUUAAACAUUAUUUUUUGGGGGAAUCACUUGACUGGUUUAAACUCACACGUACAUCAUUCGAAUGCGUUAGGCCUACCCUUGGCACAAAAGGGUCCCCAUGCAUGAUUAGGACACGAUAUAUGUGUAUUUAAAUGCUUAUGUGUUACGUUGAUUUGAAUGAGGAUAUCGUAAACCCACUCCUAGCAAAAAAAAAAGGUACACAGAAGUCACUAUUACAAACGUCCGACCAAAAUUCCCGAGUCUCAAGUUUCUCACGCAAGAUCCACCUCCCACCACAAAUCUUGAAUACCGCUCUAUCGUCUCAGGUAAGUUGAAUCACCGCUAUGGACAAAGGCGAGAACGUCCAGACGGAGCUCACUAAGGAGGAAUUGCGAAAAAAGAUCGAGCGGGUCACUCGAGAGAUUCAGAAGGUUAAAGAGGAAGGACUCAAGGUAGAAAUAACCACGGCAAUCUACAAAGCUGCGGUCACGACUUUGGAUGAAGAUCUGGCGUCGCAGAUGAGAAGAAAGAAGGAGGCUGAGAUGGAAACCGAAAGCCUAAAGAAAAGGUUGAACCUGCUUCGUUUGAAGAUACACGAAGGAAAGGCGAGAGAAGCGAAGAUAGAUAUUGAGACUGCUGUAUUGUCGGCCAGAAGUGCGGCACUCGACGAAGAAUUAGCGACCCAUAGCAACUUAAAGGGCGGAAAACACCUCGCCCGUGAACAGGGAGCAAGUAACGGUGGCCCCGGCCGUGAAGUGAUUGAGGAGGAUGAUGAAGAAGAAAUCGUCUACAAGCCUCCAUUUCCGAUUGUCUGAAAGGAAGGAAUGACGCAGCCACAAGACAAGAAAUCGCCAAAUAUUGUCUUCUAGAAAUUUCAAUAUUGUUUUUCAAUUCCCUUGUAAUCGCAAUGAAAAAAUGAAUGAAAAUUUUUCAUCCUUGUAUCCGAACUACGUUGGGCCUGAAUUCUCCUCGUGAGAUACGUAGGCAGCCUUCCCGGCCCAGCCCCUAUCACCAAAAAUUUUCAUUCUCCUCCGUGUUUCGGAGGUACGAAGAUAAGAUCAACGGACGAUGAAAAGCAGCUGCAAGAAAACCAUAGCCCAACGUGAUUCAGCUUCCCCGAGAUGACGUCAAAACAAACAAGAUCCUGUUUGUUCAAAAUAUAUUUCCGUCCUCAUUCGUGGGUUAAGAUAUCCUCAAACAAAGCGACUUGUGUCUUUAUCUGUUUUAUGUGCGAUAUUAUGCAUUUUGUACUCCGGAUAUGCACUAACAAAUUUGCCAUUGAGUUGUUUUUACCUCUCAGGUACCUCUUACUGAUCUGUGUCGAUAAAGCUGGCAGAUCACCACUACUUCACCAGAUCAAAAGGUCGCGCAGAUUCCUUCCCCGAACCAAACACAAAUACAGACAUGGGCGACAACAGUGAACAAAUCAGCCUCACAGAUGUCGUGGUGGCUCAGCCCACCGUGGCAGAGCAGAAUGAGCUUAUUGCGCAGCUGAUGUAGCAAAUAGCUGACAUGAGGGUAGAGAUGCAACGGAGGCAAGACACUCCUCCGCCCGGGUUUGGCCCCGACUUUCUUGACGCAAGACCUCCUACAUACUUCCCCUCAUCCAACUCAGAUCCUACUCAGCACCGUCCAUCGACACCCGUGCAUAACCCGUCCGGGAUAGAUAUGACCACCCAAAACCCCCAAUACGCCUCAGUCUCCUAUCAAACUCCCUCCCCACUUCCAAACAAUCCUCCGCAAAUGCCACCACACCCCCAAAAUACUCAAACAGCCCCACUACCCCAAAAUCAAACCCAAAAUCCCACCGCCCUCAAUUCCCAAACACCGCAUCCCCAUUUAAACCAAAACACUAAUCCCCAAAAUUAUCCGCAAAACUAUCAAACCGCACAGAAUGUCCCAAGCCCUUCCCUAGCUCCACCCCUUCCCAAAAGAACCACUUUUCAAGUCCCUGUAUUGACCGAGCAUGAGGUACACGGCUCCGAGCUGGACCAUUAUGAGGAGCAAGAAAGAGAGUGGAGGGCAAGGGAAGAAGCGAAGGUAGACAUAAAGGAGGAGAUCAAGAGGGCAAUGAGAGAGUUGCAAUGUACUCCAGACGUCGCUGGGUUAAGCUACGCAGAACUAUGCAUCCACCCAGACUUGAACCUACCUGAAGGGUUCAAGAUCCCGAAGUUUGAUACCUUCGGAGGGGUGGGAAACCCCAUGGCACACCUAAGAGCAUAUUGUGACCAACUCGUGGGAGUUGGCAAAGAUGAAGCGUUGCUGAUGAGAUUGUUCAGCCGGAGCCUGUGCGGUGAGGCCCUGGAAUGGUUCACGUUGCAUGAGACUUGACAGUGGCCCAGUUGGAGUGCGCUGGCUAAGGAUUUCGUCGACAGAUUCGCAUACAACGUUGAGAUAGUUCCUUAUCGGUACUCCUUGGAGAAGAUAAAGCAGAAGUCCACAGAAAGUUAUCGAGAGUUCGCGUACAGAUGGAGGAAGGAGGCAGCGAGGGUGAGGCCUCCGAUGACGGAGAAAGAGAUUGUAGAGGUGUUCAUACGGGUGCAGGAGCCCGAGUAUUAUAACAGAGUCAUCUUAUUAAUCGGCGCCAAGUUCGCCGAGAUAGUCAAAGUAGGUGAGACUAUUGAAGAUGGCCUGAAGUCGGGAAAAAUAGCCCGAGUGUCUGCAUCGCUUGGGUCUUCCGGAAUGUUAAGGAAGAAAAGAGAGGAGGUUAACGCUAUCUCACACGGGGGAAGAAAGGCACCCAGAAACUUACCACGUCCCCAAGGCCGCUCCAAUCCUCCAUCAAAGCCUCAUCAAGCCUACCGUCCACAAUCAAAUCAUUUCGGCCACUACAAUGCAGCCCCCACUUGUCCAGAUGCCCAUAUCUUAUUAUAUCAGAAUCCGCCCCAAAUUCCCCAAAAUUUUCCCUCCAUAUAUCCAAACUACCCCCAAGCUUAUCAAGUCCCUCCCCAUUACCAGAAUGUCGCUCCCAGCUGCGCUAAUGUACAGCCGAGCUAUCGAGCACCAUCCCCCGCAUAUCAAAUACAAACCCCAGCAUAUCAAAACCCCUAUCCGAAUUACCGAGCCCCAAUGCCAAACUACCAAACAAAUCCCCAUCCCAGAGCCCAAGCUCCACGACCAAAUGCCCGCAGUUAUCAACAAGUCCCUCCCCCACAGCACGGAGGGUAUGAUCCCCCUCGCCCCAGGUCUGAGAAGAAGCCUUCCAGAAGCUUCACCGUGUUGGCUGAAAGCAGAACUAAAUUGUUCGAAAGAUUAUCCGCGGCCGGAUACAUCCACACUGUGGGCCCCAAGCCCGUGGAUGUCAAUUCCAGAUUCUACAGACCGGAGUAGAGAUGUGCUUAUCAUUCCAACAGUGUUGGACAUGAUACAGAAGACUGUAUCAAUCUCAAGCACAAGAUCCAGGACUUGAUUGACCAGGAAGUGGUCUCCCUUCAGCCUGCGGCGCCAAAUGUCAACACGAAUCUGUUGCCAAAUCAUGGGGGUGGAAACGCCAACAUGAUAGAAAUUGACGAAGACGAGCGUGAAGCCAAGAGAAUUACUCCUGUUGUUCAGGAAGACUUGGAAAAGGCUGUCGCUUCUUUGAGCGUCAGGGAAAAGGGAGAGUUUGUCAUUCUGACACCUGCAAAGGUUGUUGCCUUGGUGCCCGCAAAGACUCUCGCCAAGCCCAAGUUUGUUAUUGAAACGGUCGUGGCUCAAGGCAUGACCAGAUCUGGUAGAUGUUAUACUCCUGACGAGCUUGCUCUCGGAGGACAAAAGAAAGAUCAUGCCAAGAGACCGAUCAGCGAAGCAGAAGCUGAGGAGUUCUGGAGGAGAAUGCAGCCCAAAGACUACUCCAUUGUCAAGCACUUGGAGAAGACUCCAGCCCAGAUUUCUGUGUGGGCCCUAUUGAUGAGCUCCUGGUCACACAGACAGGCUUUGAUGAAAGCCUUGGAUGACACGUAUGUGCCCUCAGGUACGAGCAGCGACAAUGUAGCUACUAUGAUUCACUGAGUCGUUCAGGGACAUCGCAUCAGCUUCGGCGAUGAUGAACUGCCGGCCGAAGGAAGGGCCCACAACAAAGCUCUACACAUCACCGUGAUAUGUCGCGAAAAGAUCGUCAACCGUGUUUUGAUAGACGACGGAUCUGGCCUGAACAUAUGUCCCUUGUCCACACUGAAGCGGCUGAGGUUUGACCUCCUAAAGUUGGAACAAAAUCAGGUCAAUGUGAGAGCAUUCGACGGUGUGCAGAGAGACACGUUGGGAGCUGUAAACCUGACCAUCCAAAUGGGCCCCGCAGAGUUCGAGGCAAAAUUCCAGGUGUUGGAUAUCGACACCAGCUAUAACCUCCUUUUGGGAAGGCCAUUCAUUCAUAUGGUUGGAGCCGUCCCCUCCACUCUCCACCAUGUGGUGAAACUAGUAUGGAACAAUGAAGAACUAGUUAUUCACGGGGAAAGGAGCCACUCAGGUAAACAGGUGCCGAUCUUGGAUGAAACGCCGCAAAGUUCAGAUUUCUACACGGUGGAGUUGGUAAAUGCCACUGAUGAAAGCUUGGCCCCACAGACUCCCAUGCCGGCCGUGUACAGAAUGAUCGCCACGGUGAUGCUGCAAAGCGGAUUUGAACCAGGUUUCGAAUUGGGAAGGAAUGCACAAGGGAUCAUCGAGCCGGUUUCGGUCCUUGCUACAGGAUCAAAGUAUGGUUUGGGGUACAUCCCCACAGAUGAUGAUGUGAUGAUGAAGAGGAAAAAGGAUCAAGGGUUGACUAAGCCGAUCCCGCAUCUCUAUCAAUCCUUUCCAGUCCGGAAACAUGCUGAGCCUGAAGACGACGGGGAAGGAAUCUGUGACCUUUUCAGGGAGAUUAACACCGUUAUCGAGGAGGAGCAACUCAGCUAGCAUUCGUGAUGCGGAACCAAAGGAGAUGCUGCGGAAUUGGACUUCUACGCCAAUCCUGAUGUCCCGGACUCUUGGGUAGAAAGGAAUUAUUUCAUGCAUAGUAAAAUCGGUGGUUGUCCGGAUGAGGCCCGAGACCCAUCAUUUCUGCAUUGUUCUUGAUUUUGAAUUUUGUUGUGAUGUUUGAAAAAAGUGACAUGGCCCUGUGCCAUGACCCAAGUUCGCAUUUUGUUUGAUUUAAAUGAAAGCCUCCUUAUUUCGACUUUGUUUAUUAAAUUGCUUGUUAUAUGUUACUUUUCUAAUUUUGUCUAUUUAUGAUUUCAGUAACGUAAGUUACAAACCUGCCAAUGUCAUGUCAUGUCAUGAGCUAAACGAGCAAAAUGAGGCAAAUGACGAUGAGGUUGACGACUACGAAGAAAGUGGGGAACCAGACCAUGUUGCAGAAGAAUUUCGAUAGUUAGAGAAUAUACAUAAACCAAAUCUGGAGGAGACCGAAAUGGUGAAUUUGGGAGAUUCAGAAUGUGUCAAAGAGGUUAAGAUCAGCACCCACCUGAAUGAGACUCAGAAGGAGAGCCUGGUUCGUUAGCUUUCCGAAUAUAGGGAUGUGUUCGUUUGGGAUGUCGUUGACAUGCAAGGGUUGAGUACUGAUGUCGUAUCUCAUAAGCUGCCUAUCAACCCAGGGUUCGAACCGGUGAAACAAAAGACUCGGAAAUUCAAGCCUGAAUUGAGUUUGAAGAUUAAGGAAGAAAUCACCAAGCAGAUAGAGUCUCGACUGGCAGAAGUAACGCAAUACCCAACCUGGUUGGCCAAUGUCGUUCUGAUCGCCAAGAAAGAUGGAAAAAUCAGGAUUUGUGUCGAUUACAGAGAUCUCAACAAGGCUAGUCCAAAGGAUAAUUUCCAUUCAUAUUUUGAUUGACAACUGUGCCAAACAUGAGAUGCAGUCAUUUGUGGAUUGUUACGCGGGUUAUCACCAGAUUUUGAUGGACGAAGAAGACGCAGAAAAAACGGCCUUCAUUACCCCUUGGGGGGUAUAUCACUAUAGGGGGAUGCCGUUCGGCCUCAAAAACGCCAGUGCUACUUACAUGAGAGCCAUGAUGACUAUCUUUCAUGACAUGAUUCACAAGGAGAUUGAAGUGUACGUGGACGACGUCAUAAUCAAAUCCCGCGAGAGUUCGGAUCAUUUGACACACCUGAAAAAAUUCUUUGAACGUUUGCGUCGGUACAACUUGAAACUAAAUCCUGCCAAAUGUGCUUUUGGAGUCCCAGCUGGGAAGUUGUUGGGGUUUAUAGUCAGCAGAAGAGGUAUUGAGCUCGACCCUUCCAAGAUUAAGGCAAUUCAAGAGUUACCUCCGCCGAAGACGAGAAAAGAAGUGAUGAGUUUCUUAGGGAGGUUAAACUAUAUCAGUCGGUUUAUAGCACAAUCAACAGUGGUAUGUGAGCCCAUUUUCAAGUUGCUGAAGAAAGACGCCCCAACUAAGUGGAUUGAGGAGUGCCAGACCGCUUUCGACGCUAUCAAGAGCUACUUGUCUAACCCACCAGUACUAGUUCCUCCGCGAGAAGGGAGUCCGUUGUUGCUGUAUUUGUCUGUUUCAGAUAACGCCUUUGGAUGUGUACUUGGUCAACACGACGAGACGGGGAAGAAGGAGAGGGCUAUCUACUACAUCAACAAGAAAUUUACUCCGUACGAGUCUCGCUACACUUUGCUGGAGAGAACGUGCUGUGCUCUGACGUGGCUUGCCCAGAAACUGAGACACUAUUUAUCGUCGUAUACUACAUAUCUUGUCUCCAGAAUGGAUCCAUUGAAGUAUAUUUUCCAGAAAGCGAUGCCGACCGGGAAGUUAGCUAAAUGGCAAAUGCUGUUGAGUGAGUUUGACAUCGUGUAUGUGACUCAGAAAGCAAUAAAGGCACAAGCUUUGGCUGACCAUCUUGCGGAAAAUCCCGUUGACGAAGAGUAUGAACCUCUCAAGAAUAUUUUCACGAUGAAGAAGUGUCAUUUGUGGGUGAAGAUAUUUCUGAAGCUUAUCCAGGUUGGAGAUUAUUCUUUGAUGGAGCGGCAAACCACCAGGGUAAAGGUGUUGGAGCAGUCUUGGUAUCAGAAUCUGGUCAACACUAUCCUAUGGCAGCCAAACUGCGAUUCAACUGCACAAACAACAUGGCUAGUACGAAGCUUGCAUUCUCGGUUUGAAAAUGGUCGUUGACAUGAAUGUUUACGAGUUACUGGUUAUUGGAGAUUAGGACCUCUUGAUUCAUCAGGUUCAAGGAGAAUGGGCUGUGAAGAACCCAAAGAUUGUACCUUACGUACAAUAUGUGCAAAAUCUGUGUAAAAGGUUUCGCAAGAUCGAGUUCAGACAUACUCCCAGAAUACAGAAUGAAUUAGCCGACGCUCUUGCCACCAUCGCUUCAAUGAUUAAACAUCCGGAUACUAAUUACAUCGACCCGUUGGAUAUAGACUUGAAGGAACAUCCAGUCCAUUGUUCACAUGUUGAAUCAGAACCAGAUGGUUUGCCUUGGUAUUUUGACAUAAAGAGAUAUUUGGAGUCUGGGACAUAUCCAGAAGACGCUACAUCUAAUCAAAAGAAGUCGAUACGUCGUAUGGCUCUCAAUUUCUUUCUGAAUGGAGAAGUAUUGUAUAGGAGGACUCCGGAUUUAGGUGCUGAAGCUGUAAGGCUUAUUGAAUAGAUACAUGCUGGAGUUUGUGGUACACAUAUGAACGGGCUUACCUUGGCAAGAAAAGUCCUUCGAGCCGGUUAUUUCUGGAUGACUAUGGAGCAUAACUGUUGCAAAUUCGUGCAAAAAUACCACAAAUGUCAAGUGCACGGUGAUCUGAUAAGGGUGCCACCUCACGAACUCAAUGUUAUGAGUUCUCCUUGGUCAUUUGUAGCUUGGGGAAUGGAUGUCAUCGGUCCUAUAGAGCCGGCCGCUUCUAAUGGACACAGAUUCAUUUUGGUUGCCAUCGAUUAUUUCACCAAGUGGGUGGAGGCAGCUUCUUAUAAAUCGAUAACCAAGAAAGUGGUGGCCGACUUUGUCCGCAACAAUCUGAUAUGCCAAUUUGGAGUUCCAGAAUCCAUCAUCACUGAUAACGGUGCAAAUCUCAACAGUCAUCUGAUGAAAGAGAUAUGUGAACAAUUUAAGAUUAUUCACCGAAAGUCAACUGCUUAUCGCCCUCAAAUGAACGGAGCUGUAGAGGCCGCCAACAAGAACAUCAAGAAGAUUCUGAGGAAAAUGAUUGACAAGCAGCGGGGUUGGCAUGAAAUGUUGCCAUAUGCUCUACUGGGUUAUCGAACGAUGGUCAGAACAUCAACCGGGGCUACUCCAUACUUGCUAGUAUAUAGAACGGAAGCAGUCGUGCCUGUUGAAGUCGAGAUACCGUCAUUAAGGAUCAUCCAAGAAGCUGAGCUAAGUAAUGCUGAGUGGGUUAGCAAACGGAUUGAUCAGUUAGCUUUGAUUGAUGAGAAGAGGAUGGUCGCUGUUUGUCAUGGCCAAUUGUAUAGACAGAGAAUGACUCGCGCUUUUCACAAAAGAGUAAGAGCCAGAAAUUUUGAAGUUGGUCAGUUGGUUCUUAAGCGUAUUUUUCCUCAUCAAGACGAAUACAAAGGAAUGUUCGCACCAAACUGGCAAGGUCCUUACAUGGUUCGCAAAGUACUAUCUGGAGGUGCUUUAGUCUUGUCAGAGAUGGAUGGCGCUGUAUGGCCCAAGCCUAUCAACUCAGAUGCUGUCAAGAGAUAUUACGCGUGAAGUUCGUUUUGCAUCUUCUAUCAUUUACUUGUAAUCUUCUGUUUGCUUGUAUUUGUUCGAAUUUGAACUCUUAUCCCUCUUGUAACGAACUACGUCUGACCUGAAUUCUCGAGAACGAGAUACGUAGGCGGCCUAUGUCGGCUUCGGUCACCCCAUUUACCCCCUUAAUUAUUUCUUUGCAUUUGAACUACGUUCGACCUGAAUUCUCAAGAAUGAGAUACGUAGGCGGCCUUUGUCGGCCUCGGUCGGUUUCUUUGUAAAUCUAUUCUUGUUAACCUUUAAGGGGAACUACGUUUGACCUGAUUCCUGCCUCAACGGGAUACGUAGGCGCCACAAGGGCUCGGUCAUAUCUCUCGUAAGAUUUCUAUUCCCCUUUACAUUAGAACAGGGACAGAAUUUUUGAGAGGGACUCAAAAAUUCUCCAGAAAAAGCCCCCUCUUCAGCAAGCCAGACAAAAGACAUUUCGAAUUUGCGACUAGGACAGAAUUUUUGAGAAGAUCUCAAAAAUUCCGCGAUCUGUUCGGUUACAAUGGAAAGAUGAGCAAGAUACUAAACUGGGACAGAAAUUUUGAGGAUGGCCUCAAAAUUUCGUCAUGGGUCUUCCCUACAUGUCCGGAAUGCCUCUGAAAUUCAUUCAACAAGCGUCGGACUCAAAGAAACUCGUUAAGCCUGACACGACAUGACUUGGCAGUGACUUUUUCAAGAUACUAUUUCUUAAAAAAAAAUUCUUGUUUCUCUUAAAAAUUUCCCUUUUAUAUUUCAUCUGUUUUGGCAUAAGAUAUUUUCUUAUCAAGAGUCGGGAAAUCGGGAAAUCAACCAGAGACAUCAAGACAAGGAGCAAACAACCGAAGGGAUCGAUACAGAUCAGUAUGUUUAAAACUGACAAUUUUUCUAUGGAUGUAGGUUUAUAGCUUCGCUUCGAAAUCGGCCGAAUUCUUCCGACUAAUGAAUAUGGAGAAGGAGAAAACUAUCUCCAAAACCAGUGAUUUUAUUGAAAGCAGGAAUAUCGUUUGUGUCAGGAUGCUUAUGAAUGUGUUUGUUUAUUUCAAACCAUUCUCAGCAAUGGGAAAUUUACAAAGUAUCCAGCCAGAUUCAAAGGUGAAUCAAACAGGAAUCUCAGCGAAGAUUUCACGAUUUCUGUAGAAGGCGCUAUUUGCAUUGUGUUAUCAAAGCAAGAUGAUUAUUGUCGAUCAAGACCAUGCAUUACCUCAGAAGAGACAGUUAUGCAAUUAUUAUUUUAUCAUUAUCGAUCAAGUUGAUAUAUUAUUUGGAGAUCGUCUUACCGUUACUAUUCACGGGGGCGAUAUAAAUAUUCAUACAUCGCGGAAUUUAUACACUGAAGAAUCAUGCAUCGCGGAACCAUGCAUCGCGGAAUUUAUACACUGAAGAAUCAUGCAUCGCGGAACCAUGCAUCGCGGAAUCAUGCAUAGCGGAAACCAUGCAUCGCGAGUCAUUAAUUAUGCACGACGAGAAGAUUUCAUGCCUCGUCAAAAUUUAUGCAUCGCGAGAAGACUUUAUACCUCGCGAAAAUCAUGCAUCGCGAGUCAAUAAUUAUGCAUGAAGAGAAGAUUUCAUGCCUCGUCAAAAUUUAUGCAUCGCAGAAAUCAUGCAUCGGAGAAACCAUGCAUCGCGAGUCACUAAUUAUGCACGACGAGAAGAUUUCAUGCCUCGUCAAAAUUUAUGCAUCGCGAGAAGACUUCAUACCUCGCUGGAAUUUAUACAUCGCGAGAAGAAUUUAUGCCUCGCUGGAAUUCAUGCAUAGCGAAAAUCAUGCAUCGCGGAAAUCAUGCAUCGCGAGUCAUUAAUUAUGCACGACGAGAAGAUUUCAUGCCUCGUCAAAAUUUAUGCAUCGCGAGAAGACUUCAUACCUCGCUGACAAUUAUGUACGAUGAGAAGAUUUCAUGCCUCGUCAAAAUUUAUGCAUCGCGAGAAGACUUCAUACCUCGCUGGAAUUUAUACAUCGCGAGAAGAAUUUAUGCCUCGCUGGAAUUCAUGCAUAGCGAAAAUCAUGCAUCGCGAAAAUCAUGCAUCGCGAGUCAUUAAUUAUGCACGACGAGAAGAUUUCAUGCCUCGUCAAAAUUUAUGCAUCGCGAGAAGACUUCAUACCUCGCUGACAAUUAUGUACGAUGAGAAGAUUUCAUGCCUCGUCAAAAUUUAUGCAUCGCGAGAAAACUUCAUACCUCGCUGGAAUUUAUACAUCGCGAGAAGAAUUUAUGCCUCGCUGAAAUUCAUGCAUAGCGAAAAUCAUGCAUCGCGGAAAUCAUGCAUCGCGAGUAAUUAAUUAUGAACGACGAGAAGAUUUCAUGCCUCGUCAAAAUUUAUAUAUUGCGAGAAGAUUUUAUGCCUCGCAGGAAUUUACGUAUCGCGGGAAGAUAUUCAUGCACCGCAAGAGGGCAUAUAUGGAUAAAGAAAGAGCAAUACUUAUCCAUUGGCCUCGACUACAUUAUGUUAUUUCUUAUAAAAGUAAACAUCAAGAAGAGCAUCAAAGAUAACGACAAAAGAGACAUCGAUAUCGCAUCAACAUUUAUUCAUUUAUUUUUAGAGUCAAAUGAAGAGUACAUUGAAGAUGAUAUUCCAAAACACAAGGCAUAAACUUUAUUUUCUGGACGUCAGACCGAUCGAGUCGACGUCGAAUAUGGAGGAGAGCAAUGAAGUGUCGACACGAUAAAAGACACCGUCUUCCAUCCUAAUUGCAUUCUUUUUAAGCUGACGAGUUUUAUCUCAGUCUUUGUCGAGAGCAUCCAAAAGGAUGAAUUCUCCAAAAACCACAGGUGCGGACGACACCAAAAAGGAUGCAGCACAAUGUGGAACUUUUUCUUAGCAGUGAACUGGGACACAGUCCAAAGAGGAGUGCCAAACUCUUAGGACGCGAGCAGAGGAGCAACUUCCACCACGACCGAACCACCCUUCUCGAGGCAUGCGGGUUUUCCUUUAGGUCUGUCAGUUUCAGUCUCGCAUCCGGAAGUUUUGUCUUAUCGGAAGCCAGUUUCCAAUCUGAGUGACAAUGCGCCAAGAGCUUUGGAAAUUAUGUCCGUGUAAGUCCUUACCUAUGGAUGUGAAGAGCUCCACAUUCAUGGCUAAGAGGUUACAAGCCUCCUUUUCAUACUCGUUAAUUUGCCACUUGUCCAAAACCAAAAGUUAUCUAGCAUAAUAGAUUUCCUUUUCCAUCGACUGAGUCGAACUAUACACAGCCUGAUUCCGAAGGUUUAGGGAUAUGUAGGCGGAUUCAAUAUUGAAACUCGGUUGUAUCCCAAUAUUCGCUCUCGAAUUCUAUUCUCGAGCAUUUCGGCACCUUCAUAAUCCAGUAUCGAAGUGGCUUUUUAAUUCUAUCAAAUCGUGUGAUAAAACAAGCUUAUCAAACUACAAGUGGCCUGAAUUCUCAUAUAGCCUGAGAUAUGUAGGAAACCCGUUUCAAGGGUUCGGCCAUAACUCCUAAACUCUUUGUCAAAUCCUUCCUUUUAAAAGCGAAUGAAGUUGGUCAAAAUUGGUUCGGUCAAUUUCAUUUUCCUCGAGUUGCUUGCAUCAACCCAAGUAAAAUGAGGGACAGUUGUUGACACCCAAUUUUUGACCCACGUUGGUAUAAAUUAAUUAUCGAGCUUCGUGAGUUUUUCAAAUUAUUUGAGUUAAUUAGUUUGGUAAAUCUUGCGAAAACGAAAGAAAAUAUAUAUAUAUAUAUAUAUAUAUAUAUAUAUACACGUAUAUAUAUAUAUAUAUGUAUAUGUAUAUAUGUAUAUCUUUAGUUUAGAAAGUAUUCCAUUAAACUAGUUUGCUUUAAAUCACAACUAUAUUUUGAAUCAUUAUUUUAUAAUUCAAAUAGUUAUGUUACUAAAUAAAUAGGCUCGUUAAUGAAUUUAUACCAAAUUCGUUUUAAAUCAAUUGGCCAUUAUUUAAAUUUAACUCUUUCCUUUAAUCCUUUUGAAGAACUGAAUUCAGGCCCAAUCUCCUUCAAUUUCAAUCCAACCCAAUUCAAACCCAGCGGCCCAUUUCUUAAUUCUCAGGCCCAUCCCGAACCCCCUAAAAUGUUUUCAAAACAAAUUUUUCUGUUUAAGUUGUUUUGGAAAUAAGUUUUCUUGAUUUUUCCUAAAAAAUUAAGUGGCGACUCCCAAAAGUCGAAAAUACCCUUUAAUAAAACAAACUCUUUUUCGAAAUCGAAAUUUUUUUUCGAUAAAACAUUCCUAAAGUCUUUAGUUACAUUGGUUCUAAUGACACUUAAUUAAUACCGGUAAAGACUUUAGCACUCUUUAUUAGUGUCAAUAUUUAAUGCCGCUAAAAAAUAUUUUUGUUGUUAUGUCAAUUGAGUUGUUAUUCCCAUACAAAUAUUUUAUAUAUACAACUCUGACUUUGUAAUAAUUAUAUACACAAUAAUAUAAUAAUAAUAAGAAAAAAUUACGCGGCUAAGAAAACUUAUACUCUUUAAUUAUUCAUCAUAGGUAUAGUUUGCUAUGAUUACCACUCGCGACUAAAAUUAUACAUUAAUUACGUGGGCUGACUUUGAGUUUGUAUAAUUAGUCAUGUUUGUAUAUGUAUAAUUCGCCAGGAUAUAUACAUAUGUAUAAUAUAUAAUUUUUUAACCUAUAUACAAAUACAAUUCGCCUCUCUCCUUCCUCUUUCAAUCUCGCUUGCCAUUUUUACAAAUGUAUAUGUAUAUUAUACAAUUAUAUUCAUAUACAAUUCACCUCUCUCCCACUCUCU
rnacentral:lncRNA from 1 species